rnacentral:lncRNA from 1 species
AUGUAUCGUCUUCUCUCCCUUUACUUGGCUUUAGUAACACAAAAACAAUUCUUAUCUUAUGACUUGUAUCUCCUUCCUAAUUAGACAGUAAAUUUUUAUUUUUUGUCAUUAACAUGCACUUACACGGUUUAAUAAUACACAACGACAAUCCGUUUAAUAAAAAAAAAAUGUAGUAACAAAAGUUCAAAUCUUCUAAAAUCUAUAUAUAUAAUGGGAGAGUUUUCUCUCCAUCUAGGGUGUCCACAUCAGCAUCCAUGUCAUCAUAAUUUAUUUUUUUUGUGGGCUCCACCUAUUUCAUUUAUUAAAACAAAAACAAUUAAACUAAAACUAAUUCACACAUUAAAUAAAAAUAAUAAUUGACAAAAAUUAAUGAAAUAUUAUGGAAAAACGUAAAAAAUUGUAUAUUAGAUCAUAUACAAUAUGAAAAUUUUGAAUAGAGAUUGAAUAAAUUAGAUCAUUAUAUUUUAACAUAUAAUGAGUAAAUAUUUUUAAAUAGUUAGAGAUACGAAAAAAGAAACUUAUCAUAUAUUUUAAUGGUACAAAAUUUAUUUUUUAAGAGUUACAAUUAUUUAGUAGAGUAAAGAAAAUAAGAGUUAAAAAACCAAAUUUAAAGGUUUUUACUUAAAAUAGAAAGCAAUUCAUUUCUGGAAAAUAGACAUUUAAAAUUUGAGUACCGAUUAAAAAAUAAAAAGAAUUUAGAACAUAUUAUUAUUUAUAAUUAUAAUAUAAUAUAUAUUAGUAUAUUUUCUAUAUUAUUAAUUUUUUCUAAAUUAAAAAGUGAAUACCUAAAAAAGAAAAACUAAAUAUUAAUUAGUGUUUAGAAAAUUAACAUAGAUUGAAAAAAAUUAAGGUGAUUUGCAAUAAUAAAAAAAACUAUCCUGAACUUCAAAAAUAAAAAUAAAAUAAUUUUAUCGAGUAUUAAAACUGUGUAAUAAAAAUAUUUGAGAAUGCUAUUUGGAAAUUAGAAUAGUAAUGGUAGAUAGAAGAGUUUUUCAUUAGAAAUAAGGGAAAUUGUUAAAAAUACCCCUUUUGGUGUGCCUCUUUUCAAAAAUGCCCCUUUUAGAUGUCCAUUUUAAAAAAUGCGCCUUUUUAAAUCUGAAAUUUUUAUAAAGUUUUAUUAGGUUUAUAAGGUACUUAUGGAUUGUAACUACUACUUGAAGACUCGAUCCAAGUAUUUAUAAAAUUUUAUAAGGUGUUUUUAAAGGUUUUACAAGUUAUUUUAAAGAAUUUUUUAAGGUUUUUCAAAGGUUUUACAAGAUAUUUUAAAGGUUUUUAAAAGUAUUUAAAAUGCAUUUAUAAGGUAUUUAUAAAGUAUUUAUAAGAUUUUAGAUACAUAGAAAUGUAGUUUGUGUAUGUUUUAAUAAUAUUACAUACAUAUUUGGGUAAAUCUUAUAUUUUUAAGAGCAUUUUUUAUAAGGUUUUUUAAAAGGGGUAUUUUUGAAAAGUGGCAUUGAAAAAGUGGCAUUUUUGCAAAAGCCCCUAGAAAUAAAAAGGAUUUUUUUUUUAAAAAUAAAUGUAUUUUAAAAUUAGAAUAAUUUUUAUGAGUUCGUAAGUGUCACAUUAAGAAUACUUUCUAGAAUCAUAAUAUACGUUAAAUUAUAUAUGUAGAAAGAGAUUUUUGUAUUUUUCAAAUGGUCAAGAUAAAGUGCAAAAUUUGCACCUUGAAAUCCUAUGUUUGCGAAUAGGAAUGAGUCUAUGAAAUCUAUUUUCUAUAAAGCAAUUUUAGAUGCACCAAAACAUGGUAAAAAAAAGCUUUAUGAUAAACAUCUCCUCAGAUUUCUGUUCACUUUAAUAAAAAGAUCAUGAAACUUAUAAAAAAAAAAAUUGAGUAUCGAAUGAUAUGAAGGAGAAAAUAUAAAUGAUCUAAGGAGAAAAGAGAGUAGAUGUUGGGAGACGACGAGUGAAUCAUAGAAGAUAACGAAAAAUAUUGUAGUGAAAAAUGUGAGAAACGUUUUACUAUGUUGGAAAAACUUUAUAUCUUACUCAUAUUUAAACAUGAAACUUUUGAAUUGAGAUUAGAGAAAUAUAAAAUUAGAUAAUUAUAUCUUAACAUAUAAUGCGUAAUUAUUUUUAAAUAGUUAGAGAUAAGAAAACGGAAACUUAUCAUAUAUUUUAAUGGAACAACAAUCACUUUUAAGAAUUACAAUUAUUUAGUAGAAUAAAGAAAGUAAGAAUUAAUAAAUACCAAAUCUAUAUAUAUAAUGAGAGAGUUCUCUCUCCAUCUAAGGUGUCCACAUCAACAUCCAUGUCAUCACAUUUUCUUAUUUUGGUAGGAUCCAUAUAUCUUAUUUAUUAAGAAAAACAUAUUAAAAUAAAUUAAUUCACAUAAUUUAUAUUAUUACCCUCCAUUUAAAAAAAAAUUACAAAAAAAUUAAAUAUGAAAAAACGGAAAAACAAAUAUAAAACAGAUAAUGAAUAAUUAUAUCUUACUCAUAUUUAAACAUGAAACUUUUGAAUUGAGAUUGGAGAAAUAUAAAAUAAGAUAAUUAUAUCUUAACAUAUAAUGCGUAAUUAUUUUAAAAUAGUUAGUGAUAAGAAAACGGAAACUUAUCAUAUAUUUUAAUGGAACAACAAUCACUUUUAAGAAUUACAAUUAUUUAGUACAAUAAAGAAAAUAAGAGUUAAUAAAUACCAAAUUUAAAGGUUCUUACUUAAUAAAAAAAGUAAUUUAUUUCUAAAAAAAAAAAAUUAAAAUUUGAGAAUAUAUUUGUUAAGGUUAAAGUAUCAAUUCCUUAUACCGGUUAAAAAAUAAGAAGGAUUGAGUACAUAUUAUUGUUUAUAAUUAUAAUAUAAUAUAAAUAGUUAAAUUAAGAAAUUUGUCUAUAUUAUUAAUGUUUUCUUAAUUAAAACAUGGAGGGUUUUAUAUAAAAAAUAAAUACCUAAGAAGAAAAACUAAAUAGUAAUCAGUGUUUAGGAAAUUAACAUAGAAUGAAAAAAAAUUAAGGUGAUUUGAAAUAAAACAAAGACCUAUGUUUUAGUAAUGGUAUAUUGAAGAGUUUAAUAAAACUGUGUAAUAAUAAUCUAAUCGAAUAAUAAAAUUGUGUAAUAAUAAUAUUUGAGAAUGCUAUUUGGAAAUUAGAAUAUUAAUGGUAUAUUGAAGAGUUUUUUAAUUAGAAAGAAGAAUGAUUUUUUUUUUUUUUUAAAUAAACGUAUUUUAAAAUUAGAAUAACCGGAUUGAGGACGAACGGCGAGGUAGACAAUGAUUGUGGUUGAUUUACUCUUACUUUGUUUUGUUAUUUCAGUUCAAAUCUUCUAAAAUUUAAAUAAUUAAUGGGUUUGAUUUAGAAAUAUUAAACCUACGACUUGUUUUUUGAUAUAAUAAAUUUAUCUCCUUAUAAAAUAGCUAAUUCUUAGACUUUUGCUAUAAUUUUUUUAAAUCAAAUAUUCAUAUAGAGAUUUUUUCAUGAAUUUUUUUUUUUUGAUAACCCAGUAUCCAGACCACACUGUGAUCCGACUAGCCCACUGGGCCUAAUCCCGCAUGCUUGGGAUUUUUAAGCCUCCACUUAAAGGCCCCCUGGAACUGGUGGUCUGGGACGCUGCGCCCCACAAAUAAAUUGCGUAGUGACCGGGACUCGAAGCCGGGUGGCGGGUGCCUCAGCCGAGGUUCCUUUCAUGAAAAUUUUAAAAUUAUACUUAAGUAAAACUCAAUCUAUUUAGAAACUUUUUUACUUAAUGGCAGGUAGUGUUUAAAAUUAAAAAGGGAACAUGGACAAGUUGGACCGACGGAGCCGGUCAUAUCCUUUGGGCCACAUGGGUGUGGGGUGAGGUCGCACGUGGAUUCUUCGUCCGAGUCACGUGCCAUUAUUUACUUGACACUCUUCUUCUUUUUCUCUCUGAUCAGAAGAAUGGAUCAGAGGACCGUUCUUGUCUCUCAUAUUAAAUAUGGCAUGUGUUCGUUCAUUCGUACUCAAUCGUUUACCCUUAUCAUAUGCUCUGCUUUCACAUGUACUUUGCCCCCAAAAAAAUAUAACUAUAUAUUUAAAUUAUUAACUAAUAUUCUCGUUUGAAUCCAGAGUCGAUUCUUGUACUUUCCAUCUGACUUUUUUUUUUUUUCUUGUUUUUGGUUAAAAAAAUAAAAUAACUUUGCAUAAAUGUUUCUUCUAAUAGCAUAUAAUCUUUAUAGAGAAAGAAGAAGUGAGAAUGUGACACAAUGUGAAUGUGAGUCAUAUUAUGCGAUAUGGAGUAGGACCGACCCUUCGUAACGUUGGUUAGUGAGUGGGUUCAAAUAGUCAAUAACUAUUAUGUGAUGAGAGGUGAAUCUUGCUUGUUUUUAAUUUGUUCUGAUUUAGGCCAUGUGAGUUUUGCGACUAUUUGAGGUUUUUUUAUUUCUUGAUGAUAAACAUUUUUGUAAGUGGAAUAUAUAGACUACCUGGAUACAAAAAAUCUUGGCUAAAAUGGAUAAAUCUAAGUAUCCAAUAGAUAGUAUUUCAUAAUAUAUCUCAUACCAAUUAAUUUAAUCAUGUCUUUUCAUAUCAUUUUGAGAUCUUUCUCUCCUUUGGCCUCGAUCCAUUAUUUGACAUCUUGGAGAGCUAAAGGGUAAACCAUGUUUUCCAAUCAUCAAACAAGAGAGUUGAAAUGUCCCGAUUAAUCGCUUACUAUAUAACAGGUUGGACUAAGAACUUAAAUCCAGUCGAGAAUACUUCAAAAAUAUGGGACUAGAACACAUAAUAUUUCUUCAUACGAAACAGAACAUAGUCUUAGCAUGUUCAGGAUUUAGAAUACAUUGAAGAAUCACACUCCUUCGUUCAUGGCCUUAAGGUACACGAGGCCUAGGGAAAGUCUCGUACUCUUGUUGGGUUUGAUCUUGAGAAGGUAUUUGAGGUACACGCGGCUUAGGGAACAAGAGCUUCAGGCGAAAAGCAUCCAUCCCAUUCAAGUAAUAGUGGUAUAGCCGUUUGGCCCUUAUAAACCCGAGGCGCCCAUAUAGUGCUAAUGCUCCUUUGUUACUCACUUCUGCCUCCAGAGUUACCUUCAAUCAUACAUCUUUUCAUUAAUUAGAUUGCGUAAUCACACAACCAUACUCUCAAUCCCAUCUUGUAAUCAGACAAUGAAGAGCAAAUGCCACUCAAGAGGUGUUUUUUUUUUGCAAUCUACUCAAAUUACAGUAAAGGGAUCUCACAGAUACAACAGAAAAUAAUUUGUUGAAUAUACAAUUAGUAAAUGGGAGACAAGGAUUUCUGAUUUCAAAUUACCAUUUCAGUUACAUACCAAUGCUUAUUGAUAUAAGUAGUCAUGGACUACAUACAAGACUUAUAUGUCAUAUGGAUACUAUGUGAGAGACAGGCAUUCUGCUUCCAAACUACAACAUCAGUUACAUAACACAAUAACACUGCGUCCAAACGAAUAUCAAACGGUUCCAAUUUUAGGAACACGAUUACUACAACUCUAUUAGCUAGAACCAAACUUCUACACUCAGUGAUAUACAAACUUAUUAUAGCUAAACAAUCAAAUGCAAUAGGUACACUUGCAAUGAUUAGAUGCAGCUAUAUCACCUAACCUCUGAAAUUCUAUCCUAGCAUGAUAAAAAGGAGGAAAUGUUUGAGGACAUGUAAUGUAACUCCUCAGAGAAGAUGGUUCAUAAUGUCUAUCUACAAUUCUACUACCAGGUAAGGAUAUCACUCUAGUGCCAUCAAAUAAUUAAUUUCGCCAGAAAGGGAAUAAAGAGAGAAGUGAAUUUUGUGAGCAGCAUACCUCUUCACAGCCUGACUCCAUCAUCACUUUUAUCGAUCUUGUGACCAGCUCUGAGGCUGUAAAGCACAAUGAUAAGUAAGAACACAAGAAUUUAUAAAAUUAGGAGAAAGGCAUGGCUUUGCAGUGGAUCAAACACGAUCAGAACCACAGGAAGUUCAGUUAUCGCUACUCCAGAGUCCAGAAUCAAUCUGAUUGUAUAAGAAGUUAGGGGCAGCAGCUUGAAAAUUACCUAUGCCUCGGCCACGAUAUGGUUUAAUCACAACCAACAUGGCAAUGUACCCUCUGAAAGUCUGUCGAUGAUCCCCCAUCUUACAGACUACGGUUCCUACGCAUUUACCUUUGUGAAAGGCCUAUUAAAAGAAAAGAAACAAAUGCUGCUCAUCAAUCCAUCAAAACAUAAGUAUCAUACUAUCAUGAAAGUAAAGCAAUUAUAAUCGAAAGCAGAGUAUCAAAAUACCAGGAAGCAUAGCUGUGGCCAGAGGUAGACGAAGUAUCGGUAAGUAAAGAUGGAGUAAGGUUCACUAAGUUCUUGGUCAACAAGAGACAUAAUCAAUGGCAGAUGAUGCUCACCAGCAUAACUCGUGUACUCAAUCUCACCCUCAUCGAAUUCUUCUUUAUCUUCCAUAUUUUUCUCCAUUGAACCCGAAUGAUAUAUACUUAUAAAGAUAAAGAUGAAAUUUUGAUUAGUUGUUUAUAUAUUGAUGAUCUUGUUCUUACAGGGAGUGAUGAAAAACUUGAUGCAAAGUUAGAGAAGAUAAAGCAGAGCUUCGAAAGUAGUGAUUUUGGGAAACUAAAGCAUUUUCUGUGAAUCGAAUUAAGUUUGAGUGAUUGUUUCAGAAUUGAAAGUGCAACGUUUUCAUGACAAAUUCAGAUUCCUCAAAUCAACAGCUGAAGUAGAGUCUAUAACACUCUAGUAAAUCAAACGACUUUGGCUAAAGCAAGUUCUAGAAGAUUUGAGAGUUCAAAUACAAGAGAGCUUACCAAUGUUCUGCGAUUGGGAAUAGUAAGAAUCCUGAGCAGCUUAGAAGAACAAAACAACACAGAUUAAAAUACCAAGUGAUUAGAGAAUUAGAAAGAGAUAUGAUUAUAAAAAUCGAAACUUUUCAGAAGCCAAGAUCAAUGAGUCGAUGAUAAUAAUACUUACCAAGAGUUUGAGCUUUGUGAAAUUCGAAGAUCAAAAGUUUCGAUUGGGUUGAUAUCUGAAGAAGAAAGGAAGCUCCAAAGAGAAGAAGAAGAAGAAGGUCGAUUACACACGUGACAAGCAUGUGUAGGGUUCUAAGAUAAAUUUGGGCUUUUAACAAAAAGCCCAAUUUAAAUAAUUAUUAAAAAUUAAGGCCCAAAUAAAAAGCCUAUCCUAAAAUCAUUUUUCUACUCUCACUACCUUAUCUUCUUCUUCUUCCUCUCGAACACAUUCGAAAACAGCACACGGCGAUGGCGUCGCUUAUACUCGGAGCUCCUCCGCGAGUCACCGUCGCUUUAUCUUCUUCACGGUUAUCAUCAUCUCACUCAGAAACCGCCGGUGUCUCUCUCUCUUGCUCCACUCAUCAAUUCUCUCUCUCCACUUCAUCCUCCAGCUCAAUUCCACUCGGUAAUCUCUCUCUCUCUCUCUUUCUUCUUCCCAAUGCUCUCUCUUAAUUCGUCAAUGGCAUAAUUCUCCGGUGUACCAGUGUACUGUGGUAGAGGUGACCGUAAAACAGCUAAAGGAAAGCGUUUCAAUCACUCUUUUGGGAAUGUAAGUAUUCAAUUUCUCUUCCGAUUCUGUAAUUUUACUUUUCGAAUUCGAAAUUUUGGGUUUAUGUGAACAGGCGAGGCCGAGAAACAAGAACAAAGGAAGGGGACCGGAGAGAGUACCGGUUCCUCCAGCACCACCGAGGAAAGAUAAGUUUGAGAACGACGAGAAGAUCAAAAUCGACAUCGACGAGUCUCUCUUCUCUAAUUAGAAAAUGAGAUUCUUCAUUCACUGUAAUUUUAAUUUGUUUUUAGAAACCUUUGUUGAUGCUGCGACUCUUUUGUUGUUAAAACAUCUCCAAGUUCUCAUCUUUCUAUGAAAGUUUGCUUCUUUAUGAUUCAUUGAGUCUUUUACAUUGAAAAGUAAAGCAAAUGUGAACAAUGGAAGCAAACGAAGAACGAGAAUCUAUAUACUUAAGUGUGGGAAUUUGUGAUGUUUCUGCAGACUGUGCAAUGAGUGGAGAUGAGAGUGUGCAUUACACUUCCUUCUUCAAUCUUAAUCUUCCUUGUGACUUUGUUCCACAGAUGUAUCAUGUAACUCCCUUUGUUCAUAUCCUGUACCGUCUUCUCUACCCAUUUUGCUUCUCUUGUGGUUGCAGGUUUCUUGAAAAGCUUUUGGAUUUUGAUCCAAUUCACUGGAUAGAAAGCGUCGGGGGAAAAGAUUGUGAGGUUGUAUCCAGGUUUGUUUCCUAAUCUCUUGAUAACUCUAGAGACUAGGUAAGGGCUGUUGUAUCCCCAUCUGUUUCCGUCGAAUGUUGUGGCAUACUCUUGCAAGAAUUCUCGCAUAAGCGGAUGGUAGAUGUCAAAGACCAUCACUGCGUUGUUUAGUCUUGUCCAUCUCUUGGUUCCUGGAUCAAUACUCUGUGCACCAAUAGCGUUUCUCAGUCCUGUCAUAUCGUUAAGGAAGAUGAUGUCUGUGUCUAGAUAGACUCCUCCGUAUUUGUAGAGUACCGCGAGUCUUGUUAGAUCAGAGAGAUUCAUAAACAAGGGGAUAGAACCGGGAUCCAUGUGGCCACUCUUUAGCCUUUUCAGCCAAGCCUCGGCAGGAGUGUUCUUGACGAGGAACGGGAUAUCUAAAGUUACAGCAAUGAGGUUGAAACCUCGAUCAAGCAAUGGUUUAAGGAUGGUGUAUCCUCUGGGGGAGUCUAAGGAGUUGGACAAAAUCGCCAAGCAAGCACCAGGAUUGGUGGUGAAGAGAGUAUCAACAGCUAACAUCUCUCUUGGUCCAAAGGAUUUUGCGGGAGAAAGCCAGAUCAUAAAGAACUGAGCUGAGCAAUUGUUGAUGUACAAGUCCAAAACUCUUUUAUGGAAUCUCUUGUUCUUGGUAGUCGAUUUCAGUAUCUCCAGCUCAGGUAGCUUUCUUCUGAACCAGUCAAUUCUCUCGUUCUUGCUAGCUUUACGAGGAGGCACCAACGGAUCUAACUCCUUUUCGUUAUACUCCGAGUCCAAAACUGAGUUGAUAUUACAGCUACUACUCAUGGGGCCAUAGGGUCUGGGAAGAGGCACGUUUGGUUUGAACGGUGGGUUAUUAUCAGAGACAGUAGAGUUCGGAGAUUCUAUGUAGAGGAGAUACAAUAAUAAGACAGAAAACGUGAAGAUUGCGAAUAUUGGUAACUUCCUUGCUCGCAUCUUAAUCCUCUGAGUACUCUUGCUAGGUAUCCUUGUUAAUUACCUUUGCGUUAGACAGAAUAUAGAUCUUUAGGUAGUUUAUAUAUAGAGAUACACUUGGUACCUUAUUCUAGAGGGAAUAAGAGUACAUAUAUUGCCGCUCUUGAACAUUAAAUCCAUAGAACAAAGUUGUUUCGGUUUAGGUCACCUAGAAAACCGGGAGGUCCUAAUUGGAGUUGCAAGAAUUUUCCUGCGAGGAACUACAAUCUCAACCAAUUUCUUGGUGCCACGUGUAAAAUCGGUUUGGUACCUUCAUGGCCGUGAGACCGACCUCUCCCAAGCAUGUUUGUAUAGUUCCUACUCACAGGCACGAUUUUUAAUAGAAUGACUUGAGAAUUCAUAAACAGAAGAAAAAUUGGUGACGUUGCUUGAAACACAAGUCAUAAUUCCUAAGUUUUGCAUUUUCUCUAUAAGAAUUACGAUUUCGAAGUGGGGAAACCAUUUUAAGAUUCUCAAUUUCACCAUAUUAUUCAAAGCUUAUACUAACAUACAAAAACAACUCGAAAACAGAAGAGAAUUCAAAGACCAAGAGAGAGUACUAACUGAAAGAAAAGUAAAAGUGAGAUGGUCUAGCAAAAAUAAGUUUUAAGAAAAGGCAGUGUAGAUAAAGCAUUAGUUUGUUCCCAACUCCUAAGUAUAACGUGCAACACAAUUACGAUAGAGCUCAAAUGAGAAGUCACACUCACAGCCAGAAUAGGUAGACUCUUGUACGUGAAUUUGGCUUGGCCUCCAAGAUCAGUUUAGCCAAUAAAAAACUAACACAUGUGCUCACUCUAGGUUAGCUAAUAAAUCGAACUUGUUCUGCAGGAGGACCUUCGGCUGCAGAGGUCAUGAGAUGUAUUACAAUGUUGUGGUUUUGGCCUUUUCAAGCAUGUUAUUUAGGCCUUGGUUUACUGGUCUUGACUUGAGUUGCUUUGCAUCAUAAUUGCAUCGUAAGCACUGAGAUCCUCUACAUGGUCUAUAAAAGCGUAAACUCUACUACCAUUCUCAAAACCUUGGAUUUCAACAAUUUGGAGAGUGCUCCUUUCGGGAUUGAAGUAGAAAAGAUAAAACGGUUCUUUAGAUAUAUGAUCCAGCGACAAAACAAUUUCACCUGUACCGGUCACCCCAACAACGAAAUCACUGUAGCAAACAUCGAUGUCAUUGAAGAAUUCAUUCUCAGGCAAAGUGUAGACAUAUUUUGACCAUUCUUGUUUUUCGGCAUCUUCUAGAACCGACAUACACAACUCAAUGUCAUCAACAUCAUACUUCCAAGUAAUCCCACAUAGUUUACCUUUAUAGUUUAUCAAUUUAAUUGUAUAUUGACAACGAAAGCGUUGUGCGUCAAUAAACUUGAAAUCUUCUACCUAUGUAAUACAAAACUCCAUUGGUACAUAUCCCAUUAGAUUCAGGACGAUAAUAUGCAGGACAACGGAAAUUCUUCCUCCACCUCAGUUUUUCAGUCCCUAAUGUCAGAAUUUUAUGAUGAGCCCAUACCUUGAAUUGCUUGCCAAUCGGAUCAAACCCUAAAAAGCUUGAUUUUCUGCGGCUGAUAAAUUCAGGUAAGAUUGCAUACUGUCCCGUAAUAACGUUACAUAUCAUAGGCAAUUUUAAUUCAUCCUCCUUUGCGAUCAAAAAGUCAGGGAAAUAGAUCAAACCAGAAGCAUAGCUCCAAAUCUCUUCAUAAUUCAUCUGUCCACGGAACUUCGAAUGAAACUUUGCGGAUACUACAAGAGACUUCUCGUAUGGAUUUUGAGGAUAAGGUGACGAGUAAAAGAGCCACUCGCCGUCUCCUUCGACCCCAAAUAAGAUACGUGGACGAGCUGAAGACCUGGUCAAGAACAACUUGGUGAAAUGUGGAAGGCGAAGCAUGGACCCCCAUAGCUUCGAUACGCAACGAAAUCUCACGAUUGACUUUGCCGGCAAUCUCGAGAGUAUCUCAAGAAUUAGAUCAUUUGGGAUGGACUCUGAAUAUUCUCCUUUUGUCGUCGAACUCGAAGAUCGUUGAUUGCCUUGAGACAUGGUUGGCUUAUGUUUUAAGCAAGCUUGUUCUCACUGAUUGAUCUACGGAGGAAAAAGAAUAAUAAACUAGGGUUGAAGAUGAAACCCUAAUUAAAUAACUAAUUAGGAAGAUCAAUGAAGGAAUGAAUUAAUACUUUUUAAUUUUUUUUACUACAAGCCUAUAAGUCUAUAAUGUAUAAUAUUAUCAAUUUUUAUCUGAGGUUUAUAUUAUUUUGGUAAAAUUUAUAUAUGUUUCUACUUUCUAACAUGGCUUCAAUUGGUGAUCCAUUUGGAUAAAAUAAUAAGAAUUUCUCCAAAUUCAUUCCUCUGUUUCUAAGUUCUAACAGUCAUCUACCACAAAAGCUACAAAUAUAGACAUAUAGCAAGAGAAAGGGAAUUUCAUCAACAAAAUAAAAUCAAUGACGAGUGAUUUUGGUGUGUAGCUUUUGAGCUAUUGAUACGUGAGUCGCAAGGCAGUUAGGUUUAUAUAUCAAACAUCAGGUAGCAGAAAUCAAAUUCUUCCGUAUUUGGCUGAUAAGUGAGAAAAAAAAGUGUUUGCCUAAAGCCAUUUGGGCUUUGGACACAAUCUUACACAAACACAUCUAUUUGAUUUCCAAUCAUCUCUGAAUUCCUCUGCAAACAAUACAAUGGUCUGAAAUUAUGAUGUCUAUGACACUGCCCUUACCGAUCUUAAGUUUUCUGGUGAUCUUGUUCCAUAGAUGCAGCCCAUAGCUUUCUCUGUUCAGCUUCACCAGAUCGGUUUUGAGUAUUCUCGAGUCAUUGCUGCUCCUUGGCGUUUGAAACAGUCUUGGAAUGUUUAACCAAGUGAAUGGAUAGAAUGCUACUGGUGGCAGUACUGUGAAAUUGUCCCCAGUCGUUUCUCGUGCUCUUUGCGCUACUCUGGUUACCAAGUAAGGACCAUUGUGUCCCCAUUUGUUCCCAUCAAAAGUCGAAGCAAACUCCUCUAUGAAACUGAAAACAAGCGGGUGAUCUUUCUCGAAGAUCAGAACCGCGUUGUUCAACCUUGUCCAGUUCUUUGAAUCUCCUUCCACCACUGUUUGUGCGCCAAUAGUAUUCUUCAACCCUUUAAAGCUCCUUGUGACGAUGAAAUCGGUAUCUAGGUACACACCUCCGUACUUGUAAAGAAUUGCUAGCCUCGCGAGGUUUGAAAGAUUCUGCUGUAACGGUAUCUUUCCCGGAUCUCUUUUGCAGCUUUUCAUUUCUUGAAACCAAGAUUUAGCCGGGGUGUUCUCAAGAAGCAAUGAAAUGUCUGGUGUGGCUGCAAAAACCUUGUAACCGCGAUCAAUUAGCGGUUUUAGGAUGCUAUCUCCUUGUUGAGAAUCCAAGGAUCCCGAUACAAUCAUUAAGCAUCCUUGAGGAUGAGAUUUAAAGACGCUUUCUACAGCCAAAAUUUCUCUCUUCCCGAAAAACUCUGCUGGUGAAAACCAUGUCAUGAAGAAUCUAACCUCACAUUUGUCGUCGAGAGAGUCAACAACCCUCUGAUGAAACUGCUCUGAAAGGUUGGUUGACCCAAAAAUCUCGAAUUCUGUAAGAUGUGAUCGAAGCCAAGCGAUCCUCUCUCUGCUUGUACUGUUCUUUGGAGGAGCCAAUGACUUUCUCUCCAUUUUGUUUAUUUGUAUUACCUCAGAGGUCGGUGAAGACCAGAAGAAAGUUGAUUCUAGUGACAUGUUUGAGACGAUUGUUCCCGCGACAACGAGCAGCACUAUGACCCCGAAAAUGGCGGUAGAGAAUACCGGGGAAUUCGUGUGCCUGAAUUGCCGGACAUCAAGUACUUCUGAGAGACUCUUCUUGUUACAAUUAUCAUUCUCCAUUGUUUCAGAAUGUCUUGAAACAGAGAAGGAAAGUCAAAAACUCACAUGGAGUCUAAAGCUAAUACAGAUUAUAACCUCCUCAAUUAUAGUUUCAUUAUUCUUCUAAACUAAUGUGAUUUAAUCUAAGUAGCUGAAUUCUUUAAAUGUAGAUUAAUGUGAUUUGGUCUAAGUAGUUAAAUUAACAUAAGUGGAAAUGUUGAGGUAGAAUUAAAGAAGAUGAUGUCUCUGUUUUUAGGUAUUAUUGUUUUGGAAGUAGGAUAUUAUAAGGUUCUUCAUGUUUUAUUGGCUUUAAAGAAAACUUGUUAAACUAUACAAAUACAUGUACAGUUUCUAAAUAUUGUUAGGUCAAUCUUACGUGGGAGUUUGGUUGUCAUGUAUAGAUAAUAUAUGAUUGUGGAAUAUACUGAAGAUGUGCAUACCACUAACUUAUAAGGAGUACCAUAUUUGUUUAGCUGUUCCUGUGGAUGAUUUAUCAACACUAAUGCAUGUUCAUACAUUUACAAAUGUUUUUUUGUAAAAUCAGUUUUUCAAUAUUGUUUUAAAGAUAUGUCAUUACAAGAAAUUAACAAAACGAAACUAAUUAUUCUAAUUAAAAUUUUCUUGCCAAACUAUUUAAUGAUACCAAUUGAUUAAUUUUACCAAACUCUUUAAAGAUUUAGUUGAUUUUUUGCCAAUUAUUUAAUGACUAAUCGAUUUGUGUUGAAAAUUAUGCAUGAUACAUGCGGCAUUUUUCUUUUCUUUGUCGGCAUAUGUUUUGUAUUUGUGAGUAUACGGAUUACAAUAAAUUUAUAUAACCCUUUAUUCUUUGGAAAAUCAAACGAAAUCUCCACACUACUACUAUUAGCAAACAAUCCUCAAAAACCUCCACCGGAAACAGAGUCAUCGAGAGCUUCUUUACCAAUGGAUCAAAGCCCACUCCUUACCUUCUCUUUUGAUCCACUAGUCAAAGGCGGCAGCGUUUUGAUGUUUUGAUAAAGAAGCUCUUGAAGACUCUGUCUCAAGUGGAGGCUUUGAGAACUGUUAGCUAGUUGCUACAGCAAAACAACCAGAGGAAAACAGUCUAAACCGUGAACUGAUGAUUUGAAGAAUAUAUAUCUUUCUCUAAGACUCGGCUAGGUUCAACUUGAUUGGCCGAUGUACCCAUACAUAUAAGUAUAUAACCACCAAAUGGUUACUAGGAAACAAAAAUCACUAAUGAAUAGGUUCGAAAAUAGUACUACGUAGCAUCUAUAAUAAUAUGUAGUUUCCAUAGAGUGUUCCACCAAAGCUGAGGGUAUUUGGAUAUUAGGAUGACUCGUUUUUGUUCAUCGAGUUUGUAGGAGCAUUGAUUGUUACCCUCAGAUUCUUCGAAACGCUAUGCCUUAUGUUCUGCAAAGCGAAACGUACAAUUUUGUGGGCAAUUUAAAGCUUGCAAGUUAUAACUAACUAACUAGCUUCAAUGAUUAAAAGGAAUAAGGGGAUGUGUACCAUGUGCCUCAAAGCCAUGUCUAGAGACGACCUAGAAAGAGUUCUCCCGAAACCCGAGCAGGUGUUAUCGUCAAAUUUUGGAGGUGGCAGUUUCCUCAUGUUCACAACUCUUUCCACCAUUUGAGUCCCCAUCAACACAGGAUUCACAUCAUUGCUAAUCUUGGACCGUCCCGUUGAUCUGUCCGAUGAACUGUGGACUCUGCUUCUUGAGGCUGAGACAGGUCUAGCACGUGUUUCAGGGAUUGUUGGAGUUGUAGAUUUAGCACUAGAGACUGACUUUCCCACCGAGGAUGAACGGGUAAGAGCAGAUGCUCGUGGAUUGGAUUUGUUUGAAGUGGUUCUACUAUUUUGAUUCGAAUUUCGAGCAGAGUUGGUUAGUCUUGUGGAAGAUAAUGUGGCUCGUGAAGUGGGUGUGGCUUGUCUUGACGGUUUACUGCUUGGUAAUACUUCUGCAGCUGUGUUGGCUUGUUUGCUAGAAGCAGUUCUUGGGGUUGGCUUGGAAGCCUUAACGCUCCGUGUCACAGGUUCUUGCGGAAUGUUUUCAACCUUAAAGCAAAAGCAUGACAAAUAUCAAUCUUGUCUGUGUCCCCUAAAGACAAAGAUGGCUAAACGAAGAGGAUUCCAGGAAAGUAACAUUGAGAGUAGUUAGAAUCGGUUCUCACCCGUGGUUUCAGAGCAAUGGACCUAGCUUUAGGCUCCUUGACGUUAACCAUUGAGUUCUGUUUCCCUCCUAGUGUCUCAGGAGCCGCAAGUAACCUGGAAUCAGAUCAUCUCUAGCUGAAUAUCUCAACAAAAAGAGAGUACUCUAUUCGAAGAUUCUAUCUAACUGCAGCCAAUAGCAACCAGAUGAGACCAGUCAUGCAGACAUAUAAGCCUAUUAGAAGCAUCACCAUUGGAACACUACUAUGACAGAUAACUCAUAAACAUCUCAAAAUUCACAAGAAAAGAAAAUCAAAGAAGUACCACUCGUAAUCUGACUUAUCGUUCUCAGAGUCCAAAAACUUUUCAACAGCGCUCAUAGGCAGCUUAACACAGCUCCUUUUCAAAAGCUCCAAACUCUUUGUGCUAGUCUUGUCAACACUGUUUACUCCUGUCAAAAUCAAACAGCAAUAUUCAGGAAAUCAAAAUGUUGACUAGAAAUCAGCUACAAGAGCUAACCAAUCAACUCUAUAUUACUCAAAACGCACGAAACUAGUUCAAAUAAGCUGAGUUUAAGCAUUAUUUCUUAGAUUUAGGUUCCGUGAGCUCAGAUUCGGAGAAAUUGAAGUCAAAUUUGAAGAAACGAAGAUCCAGUAAAACUGAAUCUUCUCGCGUCUUCGCAUCUCCAGGAAUAGAGAGAGUUCUUCAUCUCCAUCACGAACCACCACCACAUUCUCCAUCAACAAAGAUUGAUUCAGUCGUAUAUUCACGAAACUGCCACUGUUCUGAUUCUCUCAGGUGCUCUCUUAUUUUUUCUGGAGGUGGAGCGUUAAUUACGUAGGGCCUAGUGACUGAAUCUAAGAUCUGAACCGUUGGAUGUACAACGGCGAUUGACUGAUCGGACGGUUGAUUUUUGAAUUGGACUGACCAAUGAGGGAGCCUCGUGUUUCGUGUGAAUUCAAACUCUUCACUUCUUUUAUUUGUUUUUUACACAUAUAAAUCUACACGGCCCAAUAGCUUAUUCGUUGGGCUUUUUAACCCACAAAAGCUCGCCAAUACUCUGAUUUUUUACAUUCUCACCAAAGGGUCUGAUUUUUUGACAUGAUAAGGUAAACAUCCCCCUAUUAAGCUCUUUGGUCUAAGAAGCAUAAACCUGUAAUGUGUUGAAAAAUAAUUUUGUAAGCUGUUGAAAAAUGCUUAACCUCUAAUGUGAACUGUGAAGGCUGUGAUGAUAUGGAAACAGCAAGACAGCCAGUUUCUAGGAGACCGAAACUGAGAUCCAUGUGAAUAUUUCUCAAUUUUUUAUAAGAUUUAUUAUUUUGUUAAUAUCUAUUUAUGUUUCUAAAUUUUAACAUGGCUUCAAUUGGUGAUCCAUUUGGAGAAAAAUAAUAAGAAUUCCUCCAAAUUCAUUCCUCUGUUUCUAACUUCUAGUUCUAGCUUCUAACAGUCGUCUACCACAAAAGAUACAAAUAUAGACAUCAAGCAGUGUUCAAGAAAGCGCUAGGCGCUAAGCGGGCGGUGACCCAGUGCCUAGCGCCUAGAACGCUUAAUCGGGGCCUAGGCGAUUUUUUAGGCGGUUUAGACGUUUAUAACAUAAAAAAUUAUAAAUAUAAUAUUAUAUAUAAAAGUUAUAUAAAAUAUCUAUAUAAAACUAAAAAUUAUGAAAUUAUAAACAAAAACUAGAUAAAACAUUUAUUUAUAUUUAUAUUAAAAAAUAUAUGAAUAUUUAUAACUAUAUAUAAAAAUAAAUCUCUAAUUGAAAUUGAAAAAAUACAUUAAACAAGAUCUAUGUGAUUUUAGGCGGUCAAGGCGGUAAUCUAGGCGUCGCAUGAGAGCCUAGCGUCUAGUCGGAGCCUAGGCGACCGCCUAGACCGCUUUUUAGAACACUGACAUCAAGACAAUGAAAUUUCAUCAACAAAUAAAUGAGGAGUGAUUUUGUUCUGUAGCUUUUGAGCUUUAGAUACGUGAGUCGCAAGGCAGUUAGAAUUAUAUAUCAAACAUCAAGUAGCAGAAAUAAUCGUCUUCCGUAUUUGACUGAUAAGUGAAAAAAAAGUGUUUGCCAUUUAGGCUUUGGACACAUAUUUCACACAAACACACCUAUUUGAUUUCCUGUCAUCUCUGCAUUCCUCUGCAAACAACACAGUGAUCUGAAACUAUGAUGUCUAUGACACUGCCCUUACCGAUCUUAAGUUUUCUGGUGAACUUGUUCCAUAGAUGCAGCCCAUAGCUUUCUCUGUUCAGCUUCACCAGAUCGGUUUUGAGUAACGUCGAGUCAUUGCUGCUCCUUGGCGUUUGAAACAGUCUCGGAAUGUCUAACCAAUUGAAUGGAUAGAAUGCUACUGGUGGCAGUACUGUGAAGUUAUCCCCAAUCGUUUCUCUUGCUCUUUGCACUACUCUUGUUACCAAGCAAGGACCAUUGUGUCCCCAUUUGUUCCCGUCAAAAGUCGAAGCAAACUCCUCCAUGAAACUGUAAACAAGCGGGUGAUGUUUUUCGAAGAUCAGAACCGCGUUGUUCAACGUUUUCCAGUUCUUUGAAUCUCCCUCCAGUAAUGUUUGUACUCCUAUUGAAUUCCUCAACCCUUUAAAGCUUCUUGUGACGAUGAAAUCGGUAUCUAGGUACACACCUCCGUACUUGUAAAGAAUUGCUAGCCUCGCGAGGUUUGAAAGAUUCUGAUGUAACGGUAUCCUUCCUGGAUCUCUUUUGCAGCUUUUCAUUUCUUGAAACCAAGAUUUAGCUGGUGUGUUCUCAAGAAGCAAUGAAAUGUCUGGUGUGGCUGCAAAAACCUUGUAACCGCGAUCAAUUAGCGGUUUUAGGAUGCUAUCUCCUUGUUGAGACUCCAUGGAUCCCGAUACAAUCAUUAAGCAUCCUCGAGGAUGUGAUUUAAAGACGCUUUCUACAGCCAAAAGUUCUCUCUUCCCAAAAAACUCUGCUGGUGAAAACCAUGUCAUGAAGAAUCUAACCUCACAUUUGUCGUCGAGAGAGUCAACAACCCUCUGAUGAAACUGCUCUGAAAGGUUGGUUGACCCGAAAACCUCGAAUUCUGUAAGAUGUGAUCGAAGCCAAGCGAUCCUGUCUCUGCUUGUACUGUUCUUUGGAGGAGCCAAUGACUUUCUCUCCAUUUUGUUUAUUUGUAUUACCUCAGAGGUCGGUGAAGACCAGAAGAAAGUUGAUUCUAGAGACAUGUUUGAGAGGAUUGUUCCCGCGACAACGAGCAGCACUAUGACCCCGAAAAUGGCGGUAGAGAAUACCGGGGAAUUCGUGUGCCUGAGUUGCCGGACAUCAAGUACUUCCGAGAGACUCUUCUUGCUACUAUUAUCAUUCUCCAUUGUUUCAGAAUGUCCUGAACAGAGAAGGAAAGUCAAAAGCUCACAUGGAGUCUAAAGCUAUUGCAGAUCUUAAGAAAGGUAUAUAAUAUAACCUCCUCAAUUAAUUGUUUCAGUAUUUUUCUAAACUAAUGUGAUUUUUUCUAAGUAGUUUAAUUCUAUGUAUUAUGGUCAUAUUUUGGAGGUGGCAGUUUCCUCAUGUUCACAAUUCUUUCCACCAUUAGAGUCCCUAUCAACACAGGAUUCACAUCAUUACUAAUCUUGGAUCGUCCCGUUGAUCUGUCACCUGAACUGCAGACUCUGCUUCUUGAGGUUGAGACAGGUCUAGCACUGUGUUUCAGGGAUUGCUGGAGUUGUAGAUUUAGCACUAGAAACUGACUUUCCCACCGAGGAUGAACGAGUAAGAGCAGAAGCUCGUGGAUUGGAUUUGUUUGAAGUGGUUCUACCAUCUGGAUUCGAAUUUCAAGAAGAGUUGGUUUGUCUUGUGGAAGGUAACGUGUGGCUCGUGAAGUGGGGUGUGGCUUGUCUUAACAGUUUACUGCUUGGUUUUGGUUCUGCAGCUGUGUUGGCUUGUUUGCUAGAAACGACCCAAUAGCUAAUUCAUUGGGCUUUUUCUAACCCACAAAAGUUCACCAAUAAAGGUCUGAUUUUCUUAUUCAGUCUGAUUUUGACUAGCUGAGAUAUGUGAUUAUUUUGAAUUUAGAACAAUGGUCUACCACGAUUAUACAAAAAAAUCUAAUAAUCCAUUUAUUCAUAUAAUUUUAUAUUGACUACUCAAAAAAAUGAUAGGACAUUAACAAAAAGAGAUAAAAACAUUUGACAUAAGGCAAAGGCAUUCAUAGAUAGUUCAUUGCAAACUCACCCACAAGAAGAAUUUAGAAAGUUCUCAAAACUCAUCUUCAUCAAGACACCCAAACAUUGGAAAAAUGAUAUAAUACUCACUGAAUCUCAGGAAUCUCUCUGACAAAUCUUUCCAUAUAUAUAAAUGAAUCAAGAAAAUUGGGUAUUUUUUCCAUUGUCCACUGUCUCUCGAUCGCUUUGGAAAUUUUGUUUCAACACAUUGGUACUUGUCUUCAUUUAAGAUGAGAAAACUCCUCCUCCUGUUGCAGUGACAACAUUGUUCAUCGCCUGAUGUCCCAAGUGUAUUGCAUUUUGUUCUGACAUAUACAAUUAUCAGAAUUUUGCGUUAAGUAAUAAUUAUCAUUGUCAAUCUAGUAGCAUGUAGUAUGUAGUGAUGUUAUUAAAAUGGAACCCACCCCAUUUAAUUUUAAACCUAUUUAUACCCUUAAGAUUUGAAACUCAUUUUUUUUUGGACAAAUGAUUUGAAACUUAUUUAACUCUUCCCAUUUAAACAUAUACUGACCUAUGUAAACCCAUUUAAACUAUAUAUGAUUUUUAAAUAUAUUAUUAUUUAUUAAUUGUUAGUUAGAUUAUAUAUAUAUAUGUGUUUUUUAAAUAGAAUUGUAUUAUCUUAUUGUUAAUUAUAAUUUAUAUAUGGUUUAAGUUGUGUGUAUUUUUGCAGUUUAUGUGAGAGAAAAAACACGCUUUUUGUAGGAAAACAAUCACCACAAACACACAAUUUUGCACUUUUUAUGGAAGAACGCGGUUUUGUGGUUUUGGCGGGAGAACGUUUUUUUGUAAAAAAACAAAUUUUGUUGAUAAGACACAAUUUUACAGUUUUGACAGACUAACGUGGACGUGAAGACCAGAAUAAACAGAAUAAAAGCUACAAUGACAAAAUAUAGAAUUUUGCAGUUUUAGCUGAAAAAUAUUAUUUUCGGUUUUGGAAGGAGCAACAGUUAUGCAUUUUUUGACAGGAAAAUAGAAUUUUGUGUUUUUGAAUUAAAAAGAUAAAUGAUUUAAUAAUUUUUUACUAUUUUACUUAGUUAUUAAGAUAUUAUAAAAAAUAUAUUAGAGAUAAUCAUCAUAAAGAAAAACAUUUAUUUAUAUUAAAACUUAUUUAAUAAAUGAAUCUAAUUGGGGCAACCCAUUUAACCCGUUUUAACUUUAUCUGAUAAAGCAUUUCCAUUUGAUAUAUGGGUGUUGUAUGCCCAAAUUAUUGAUAUCCCUAGUAGUAGCAUGUAUAGAAAUGUGGAAAUUAACUCACUCUGGGGAAGUUUGUCGACGAAGAAACAGAUGGCAAUAAUGAAAUAGCAAAGCAAGAGGACCAGUCCCUUCAUGUAGUGAGAACUCCCAUCCUAAAGAACCACAAAACAUAACAAAAAUAUUAGUCACUCAACACUUGGAUCAUCCAUUGAUUGGUCUAAUGGAUUAAUUAUAAGGUGUUGAAAAAUGCUUGACCUGUAAUGUAAAGGCUGUGAUGAUAAUGGAAACAGCAAGACAGCCAGUUUCGAGGAGACCGAAAUUGAGAUCCAUGUUAAUUCCCAAAAUCCACGCCACGAUGAUGGUCAAGGGGACGACGAAUAAGCCAAUCUGAGUCGCAGAGCCUAAUGCAACUCCCAAAGAUAUGUCCUAAAAUUUAUUUGGAUUGAUAUAAGUUCUUGCAUUGUGUCAUUGUAAUCUACAAGUUUCAUAUAUAUAAUAGAUUUCGGAUCGAUUAAAAGCGAUAAUUUUAAGGAAAAAAUGGAACUUACGAGCUUGUUCUUAAAGGCAAAAAUAACGGCUCCAGCAUGUUCAGCUGCGUUUCCAACAAUAGGAAGCAAUAUGAUGCUUAUGAAACUCACUGAUAAGUUCCAUUUAUCUGAUGCUUCCUAACCAAAGUUAACGUCAUAUUAGUGAUCGUGCUUCCGACUCAACACCAAUUGGCAAUAAAUGUAUUUCUAUAAUGUUUUAGAUGAUCAUUUCAGUUUCAAUGUGGAAUUCACAAAAGUUACCUCAAUUGUGGCUACAACAUACUCCGAUAGCAAUGCGAUGACGAGUGUCAUCCCAACCAACCAGACAAAACCGCUCCCAAAACUAAUCACCGCGGUUUCUUCCUCCACAUCGUCAUCAUACUCAUCCUCCUGUACCAAAUUUCGUGUCAAAGAUUCAUUAGAACACAAUAAUAUUUAUCGCUACUAUUUAAACAUUUUUCUGUUUGUCUUUUGUGUAUGUAUAUAUUUCAGUUACCUGAUCUUGUGCAUCGAACAAUUGGCGGUGAGUCCAAAGUUGGAAAACAAGAUAUGCAAUGUAACUGAUCAACAUAACAAUACUGAAGCCUCGCGAUAUACUCAGUUGCAUGUCGGACAAAACAGCAGCCGAAGUCUUUCCGUUUGCCAAGUAUUCCACCAACAAUGGCAGCAAGUGACACAAGAAACCCAUUAGAAGUAAGAAGAAGUUCACAUCGGCUUGUUUCUGCAACAAUUACCACACAAAUUGAUUUCGUUUAGCAAAUCCGCUAUUGGAAUUUGGUUCAAACAUAUAUACCACUUGCUUGUUUAUCAAGCUGAACUUCUAAAUAACAUCCUAGUUAACACUAGCCGUACAAAACCUAUUUCAUUCCCGGUUCAGUUAUCAUUGGUUUUGAAAUUAAAGUUGAACCGAAGUUAAAAGAGAGGCCAUACCCGGUCGAACCGUUGCUCCCUGCGGAUAUUAGCGAUUCCUCCACAGAAGAGUGAAGUUCCUAGAACCAAUAAAAGGUUCGACAAAAUCGAACCUAGCAGCGAAUAUUUAACCACUGCGACCUUGUUAUUGGUCAAAGCAAGAAUCGCGAUUAUCAGUUCAGUCGCGUUUCCACAAGUUGCGUUCAAUAAACCACCCACUGCGGUUCAAAAUAAAUUAGUUUCUACUGAUAAAAUAAGUAAAUAACGUUCGUAGAUUGAAAUAAGAAUAGUUGGUAAAGAAGACGUUACAUGUAGGACCGGUGUAGAAAGCUAGUUGCCUGCACAAGAUUCACGAGAGAAUGUGAACAUAAAGUUACCACACAAAAAAAAAAUGGUUUUAAACUUUUUAUGGCGUCACGUUGAUAAGAUGAUUUUAGAUAAUCUCAAUGUACUUGAUUUGAUGAUAGAGUUUGUACUAUGCUGUCACGUUGACAUAUGAGUGGCAAAUAAUUGUUUGUGGUCGUAAUGAUACCCAAUCAUGCAUUGCCUAAUCCCCAAAGAAUAUUGGUCCAUGUCCAUUUAUUUCAAAAAGCAUAAAUUAUGGUGGAAUUGGAGCUAACUAACGUGAUAUUCUUGAUUAUAACCCCUAAGAUUUAAAGCAAGUAGUGAAAAAAUUGCAAACUUAGUGGAAAGUAUCAUGGAGCAACGAGAAAUAAAUAUUAAAAUGAGUGGUUGGUAACUAAGAUUUUUUGAAAGAGAAAUAAAGUAUUGAUAUAACGUGAUCUUUUUAUCUACAGAUGGAUAGAUAUAUACGAUUCAUUUUAUCGACAGUUGGCUAAAUUUUGUCACGAUCGAUAAGAAAAUGUCGUAAUGUGAAGAAUUCAAAUAAUAAAAUAUGUAAAUGGAUAAAAUAAGAGAUGAGGAUCGAAUACUUACUCUGUCAAAAAGCUGACUCGCUCAGCCAAAGGAGUCAGUCCUAGCAAACUCAGUCCAAAUAUCCAAGGCUGUAAUAAAAUCCACCAUUUAACCAUAUGUUAUGUUCAUGUAUUUACGGUGAUCAAUCGUUUAGAUUAAGUGCACAAUUACGUUACAAAAUACACCAAAAGUUUAAGUUUGAAACAUCAAUGAUUGCAAAUCUAAUUUAAUGGUAAGUAAUAAUUUUGUUUAGAUAUCAUGCCAAAAUAUCUUAAAACAUUAAUGACAAAUUGAUAAAAAUCUUUAGGCGUUUCGAAUUCUACUCUUUUUGAAAGUAUUUUGAAACAGAGGAAAUAUAUGUAUACCUGACUGACGCCACAAUAAGUGCAAAUAAUGGCGGCAGGUAUGGCCGGAAAAAGAAUGGCAAGUUUUGUGCCGAGAAUGACUUCUUGAAGAUUAGAGAGAAAAUCUUUGAGACCUUUGUAUGGAACCUUCUGAAUCACUCGGAGGUCUGAUUUCUUCCUCAAAGAAGAAGAAGACAUGUUAUGGGCUGUUCUUCCAAGUCUCAGUUCUCUACUCGAUCCUUUGGCCGUCAUGCUUGCGUUCCCGUUCUCCGCCACUGACCACGGCUCUGUCACGAUUCCCGCCAUUUCUCUACUGAUUCAAGACUUUGUAAAUUCUGAGACACAAAUGAAGUUUUUUUUGUUUUGGCUGUCUCUUCGAAUUUUGUUUUGCUGAUUCUUUAUGUUUGUUUUGUAAAGGAAUGGCGUCAUGAUUUGUUUAAAUACUACUGAUUUGUUUUGUUUAUUGGGUCCACGAAGGCAACUUCCUCGAAAUUUCCGUUUGAUAUUUUAAUUAUUUGAUGUUUUGGGAUGUUAUGGUUUAAAUAUUUGGAAACAAAAUCAGAAAUGAUAUAAAUAUAGAUCUUGCAUUUGAAAGUUGUAACACAUGGCUCUCAAAUCUUGAUUUUUGGGAAAUAACUAUUUAUAAAUUAUAGAAAAAUAUUACAAAGAUUAGUUUGGUUAUUAGUAAUAUUUUAAUCUACUAGUAGCAAAAUGGUUAAAAACGUGGACACGUGGUGGUCUUAAUUUUUGUUAUCUUUAUUAAGCAAGUAAUAUAUGUUCAAGACUAAAAUUUGAUUUUCACAUUCAAUGGCGUUUUGAAAAGGAAAAACAAUGUAAGGAAAAAUAUAUACAAAGAAAUCAAAUUCAUUAGUAUUCUAAAAUCAUUGAUUAAAUAAUUUUUUUUUUGGGAAAAAUGUCGUUAAAAUCCCCAUCUUAUUCAAAACGUUGAUUUAAAUCCUCAACUCACGACGAAACGAAAUAAAUAUCAAACUUAUAUUGACUUUCUAAAUAAAUAUCAAACUUAUGUUGACUUUCCAAAUAAAUAUCAAACUUCCGUUGACCUAACCAUAUUAGGUACGACGUUAAGUGAGUUAAUAGAUCUCGUUAACGGAGUUAAUUUGCUGUUAACAUAAAUGUUAAUUGAUAACAACAUCGUUUUAUAUAACAACAAAACGAUGUCGUUUUGUCAUAACGAUUGAAUUAAAUCUCUAAAGUCAAUCUUAGAUCCCCAAAUCGAGCAAAAUCUCUAACCCUAAAUCUUCAUAUGAUUUGAAACUCAGGAUUUUAUUGAGCAGUUACGACAAAACAACGUCGUUUUAUGUUUAGAAGGAAUAUUGUCAUUUUUAAUUAGCAGGUCUGUUAACAGAAAAUUAAUCCCGUUAACAUGGUCUGUUAACUCACUUAACGUCAUGCCUAAUAUGGCCAAGUCAAUGAAAGUUUGGUGUUUAUUUGGAAAGUCAACAUAAGUUUAAUAUUUAUUUGGAAAGUCAACAUAAAUUUGAUAUUUAUUUCAUUUCGUCAUGAAUUGAUGAUUUAAAUCAACCUUUUGAAUAAUUUGGAGAUUUUAAUGAUAUUUUUCCCUUUUCUUAUUGAUGUAAAUUGCCUUAUUUACAAGUUUAAAGAUAGCUACAAAAAGUAAAACAUAAUGUAUACAAACAAAGAAAAAAAUAUAUAACUAAAAAAAAUAUAUCUCUCUAGUCUAGUGUCAAAACCACUCUUCAAGUGGAAGUGCAUGUGGAGACUAGAAACACUCGAACUCUUUUUGACCCAAGGUUUUAGUAAAAAGGUCAACUAGUUGUAAACACUCAAACUCUUUCUGACCCAAGGUUUUAGUAAAAAGGUCUACUAGUUGUGUGGGUGUCAAGACAUUUUAAGUCAAUAUGGUACUUCAGAGAAGUUGUCUAUGAUGAGAUGUUAUCGAAGUAUCGAACCAUGUUUCAUUUUCCAGUCAAGUAGGUUGGUAUGAUAUGAAUAAACGAAAAUGAGAAACCUAAAUAAAUAAAAUCCUUGAAAACUGGUUAUACACAGUAAACCGGAGAACCCAAAGCACCCGGUUAUGUAUCAAAAUGAAAUUCACAUACGAAAACAAAUUAGCGUCACUAUAACAAAUGCUUUAAGAGUAUUCUUUAGAAUAUCGUAAGGUCCAAAUUGUGUCGCCAGUACGAAUGCGAAGUUGAUGGUUUUGCCAUGUGGCUUUUUCGGUUAACGAGGAGGUAAUAGCUUCAUAAAAGGCAGGAAGUGGCUGGUUGCUUUUGUUCGCUAGUAUUUAUUAUGUUUAACUUUUAGCUCAUGUUAUUUCAUAUUCGUCUAAACAUUAUGAUUAAAACCAGGCCAUAGAAAUAGAGGUAGACGAAUAAAUUGAGAUAUCUUAAGUCAUUUGAAACCAUCAAGAAACUAGAAGAAGAAUUUGAUGCUUCGAAAUAAGCAUUAAGGGUUCAACCAAUAAAAACCCAUUAAAGUUGUUAAGAAUGAAUCCAAAAUAAAAAUAAACCUAAAAACAAUGCUGGGUUGUUAAGCACUUUUUGCAUAUAUUUGUAAAAUUGUAACCAAAAAUUGAAGUCUUGGAGCUGAUUUAGAGAAAAAAAUGCGAAAAAGCGAGGACAUAUAUGCAGACUGAAAACUUCUCGUCACAUGAUCUUCCUCAACUUUGUAUAUAUAGAUUGCAAAAUUAUCUUUCUCAUUUAAACAUUUUGCAAAGUCAUCACACAUUUCAUAAUAUUUUUCUUUAUCGUUCCAAAUUUAUUGGAUCUCCUGCUGCGAUAUUUAAUUAAUUAGGACCUUAGAUCUAGGUAUAGGGAUAAAUAGAGGGUUAUAUAAAGUCCAUUACGCUCCAAAACAUUUUGAUGACUUUGUCACCCACCAUCCAAUCUAUACCCUUAAAUAAGAGGAUUGGAGAUUUUGGAAAGAUAUUAUGAAUAAAUCAAGGAGCGAUGAAGUUUAAACUAUACUGUGUGGUGGUACCGUAAAUAACAAUUAUUUUUAUUUUUGUGUGCAACAACGUAAAUAACUCCUUUUAAGAUGCUUUCUUAUACAUGCAUAAAUUGUACUUUUUCUUUAGUUCUUUCUCCUUACUCAAUGGCCUAGAGAAACUUAGAUUAUAGCGCCACUAGUCCCGGAGAAUUUAAUUUUGGUUAUUAAACUGAUAGCAUAGGCUCUCUAGUUAUGUAGUCCUCGUGCAUUGAAAAUGAUUGAGCCUGAGAAUAUAAAUUAAUCUAUUGAAAUUAUGAUUUCUAAAACCAUACUUAAGUACUCAACCGUACGCAUGCUGCCAAAGAUUAGAGAAUUAGGGAAUCCAAGUGGGUAAAUAAAGACGCAAACACAGCUGAGAAACUCAUUUGUCUUGUCCGAAUACAGAACAACAUUAUUAAAGCCCCACAAAUCUUUAGUGAAUUUGGAAGUUACACUAACUUCUUGAUUUGGUUCAAUCUUCUAUACGUAUGGGCAACAAUAAACGAAAGGAGUUUGAGUCACAAAUGAUGAAAAGGCCAAGAAACUAAAAAAUGUCAUCAACGAUAAAAGCCUUAAAGGAAACUUCCCGGAAGCUGCCUUCUUGAGGAUACGUCUAUGCACUUCUCACUUGCAUGUGGUAGAUGUUGUUACCGACCCUUCUUGGUUAGACAAUCUAUUGAUAUUUUUUUGUCUUUGUUAUAUAACAUUUCUAUACUAAUUAAUGGAAUCAAAGUUCCUACAUGCAUGUGGUUUCCUUACAGUCUUACUUGUUAUGGCAUUUAGCCUAACGUGGUCACAAACCAUAAAAUUAUGUUAUCAUUUAGAUUAUAUCUUCUUAGAAGGUAUCAUAAUCAUACCUUCACACAGUAAUAAAAAUCAUAAUCAUACCUCCACGCAGUAAUAAAAAAAGAUCAUAUCUUCUUCCAGAGAAUUUUAGAAAAUGCUUAGCCAUUUAUAAUUGUUUAUCACUCCUGCAUCAAUCUUUGAACAUAUCGAUCGAUAGAAGCAUCCGAGAUACUCUUUUCACUAGCAGAUAUCCUAAGAGCAAGAGAUGUGGUUGAUUGCGUCUUAGUGACGCAUCCAUAUAUAUCUAGCUCAUCUCAUAGAUGAUAUGUUUGAUUUCUGUCUGGCUUUAUUCUUUAUUCUUUUUUUUCAUUUGCCAAGGAAGUUUCUUGUAAAGUAUUUGCAAUUAAGUCGAUACCGUUUUGGUAAUAUAAGUUACAUACAUUUUAUCCACACAAAAAAAAGUUAUAAUGUUCCAAAGAUAAAUUGGUAAAGGUAGUAGCACAAAACAACGAAAACAAUGCAUUAACUAAUUUACAUAUAAAAUAGUUCAAUCUCUUCAAGUUGACAAGUUUGAUAUAAGAUAUCACAUAAGUUCUCCAAUCCCUUGUUCUUGAAAAGUUUGCUUAGGCUGCAGUGAAGCUUCACCAAGUUAGUAAACCUUGAGACAGCUGACAAUAAGGGAAACGCGAAAAAUAAAGCUACAAAAUUCAAGCCUUGAUGAAAACUGCGUUCUACUUGCAGCAUCCUAAAUUCCGCGAAAGAAAGGAUUCUUAAUUAAGCUUGAUGAUUAAUGAUGCUCAUAUGAAACAAACAAGCUUAAGCUCGAUUGUUCGUAGCAUUCCUCAUAUGAAAAAAACAUGUGAACAAUAUUAUCUAAGCAUGCACAUCACCCGUUUUUUGGAAACUUAGUGAUGACCACUCCGAUGUGAGAACCACUCAAACCUAAAAAGUAACAACUUUACAAGUUACAAAAAGCAGAGAGUAUUGGAGUUGGAAUCAAAAUUGUUUUAUCAGUAAUUCACAUUUUGGAGUUGGAUUCAAAUUUUUAUCUAUUUAUUUAUUUUGGAAACAAAAAAAAAAAAAAAAAAAAAAAACUGUUGACUAGGAGAGAAUUCAAAAAGGAAUUGAUUCUUGGAUUAUUUUAAGGAAUCGUGGUCUCUGAGUGAAAUUGUUUGCUUCUUUUUCAGUAGUGCGAUCUGACGACUGUCACAAAGGCAUAUAAACCCUUUAUGCAUGGGCUAAUCAAAUUAAUUAAUUAAUCGCUUCUCUUAUCUUUUAUCAUCUCAAAGUUGGUAGAAGCAAAGCAAAAAUCUCCUGGCGAGAGAGAGAGAAAGAUCGAUCAUGGUUGGACCAGAAAGACCUCAAAUCGUUCUUUUCGGUUCUUCAAUUGUUCAAUAUAGCUUCACUGAUCGUGGUUGGGGUGCCACUCUCGCUGACCUCUACUCUCGCACGGUUUGUCACAAUUCCUCCUCUCUUCUUCCAAUUCCAAUUUCGACUCCUUAGGAUCUUCUGAUUUUGACUGAUUUGUUUAGUGAAUAAUCUACAAUAAACCCACUAAAAUCUGUAAUGCAAUUUGUACUUUACUGUUCGCAAAUGGACAACUGUUUCACUGUCAACAACCUAAUGAUUUGAGAAUAAGUUUGGUUCCUUCUUUUUACUCUGAUCUGUUACUGUAACACAUGAAUAUUACUUUUGAUGCAUAUUCACAGGCUGACAUCAUCCUUCGUGGCUAUGCUGGUUGGAAUUCUAGGUUUGCCUUGAAGGUUCUUCACCAAGUCUUCCCAAAGGUACACUCUUUUUUGAAUCAUGAAAUUUGAUUUCUAUCAACUAUAGUGAAACUAUACACUCUUAUAUAUGAUUCUUGAUUUAGAUAUCUCCCACGGUUUUGCAGUAAAAGGAAAUAGCUUUUUAUUUUUACCUCUGUAUAUGUUUUGUUAGGAUGCUGUGAUACAACCUUCUCUGGUGAUAGUCUAUUUUGGUGGGAAUGAUUCAACGCAUCCUCAUCCAUCAGGUCAUGGACCUCAUGUUCCUCUAUCUGAAUUCAUCGAAAACAUGAGGAAGAUUGGAGAACAUCUUUUGGUAAUAAUGCCUUUUUUUAAAGUUUGUGCUGUUUUUUUCUUCUUCUUUCUUCAGUAUUUGCUAAGCUCAUGGUAUCUUCUUAUUUCACCUUUCUUACCAGAGCCUUUCCGAUAAGACUCGUGUCAUUUUCCUCACUCCGCCGCCUAUGAAUGAGAAACAGAUCGAAGUCGUUUUUGGGUACAUGUUAUACAGAACCAGUUAAAUGUUCUUCUUGGUAUUGUUUUUAGAAGUUUGAUCAUUAGCCUUGUGUGUAACUCUUGUCUCAGAGAUGUAAUAAGAGGCCGGAGUAAUGAGCUGUGCCGUCCAUAUGCAGAAGAGUUGUUAAAUCUAUGCAGAGAGAUUAAUGUGAAAGGUAUCGAUAUUUGGACCGCAAUACAGCAGCAAGAUGAUUGGUUGAACAGCUGCUUCACGUGAGCUACUAAACCUUCAUGAUACAUGUAUACUAAAAUGAUUCUCGAUUAAACUAAUUCCUUGAGUUGUUUUACUUCAUAGAGAUGGGAUCCAUUUCACAGCAAAGGCAAGCGAGAUUGUUAUUAAGGAGAUAUUGAAGGUAGUGCGAGAAGCGGAUUGGAAACCGAGUCUUUACUGGAAGUCGUUACCGGUUGAGUUUCCAUUUGAUUUUGAUGUUCCAAACUCCAUAAGCCUUAAUGACCUAGAGUUAACUAGGAACAACCAGUUUGAGCAACCACACCCUGGAAGCCUCUGUGACCAAGAGUUAACCAGAAACGAGCAGCAGCUGGAGCCACAACACCCUCUAAGCCUUUCUGACCAUGAGUUAACCAGAAACGAGCAGCUGGAGCCACCACCGCCUACUGCCCGAUUGUAAAACAACUCAGAUUAUGCUUCUACAUUGACAUCUUGAUGGUGUAACCAGUUUCACCCUUUAUUUGCAUCUGGAUAUUCACAUUGCUAAUUUAACAUUUUAUAAGAAUGUUUGUUUUGUAUCAAUAGUUUCGCAGGGUCUUCGGAUUAGAACACUUUGUUCUCACUAUUGUGCUUCAGAUAUACAAAACAAAAUGCAUUCCUAUAUAGAAAUUCUGUUUUCGUUCUGUCAAGGUGGUCACUCGGCCAUGUUUUAAAACCUUAAGACAAUCAUGUAACUUCACAAAUAUGUGUGUUAUAGUACUUUAGAUGUUGAAUUUGACAGACAGAUCUAUAACUGAAAAGAACAUAUGAGAAAAUUCUCAACUAAGUCGUUCGUUAUCAAGAAACAAGUAUGCAUUGGCAUGAGAUGAUGUACUGGUCUAGGCCCAAAACCUUUUAGUUAUUUAUAUUAAAAAAAUGUAAAAAAAAACAGUUUAGAUACCAUUAGAGGAUAGAGUUUUAUAUGUUUUUGAAUAAUUUUUCACUACGUAUAUAUUGUAAUCAUAAAUUAUAAUUAGACUAAUCAAUAUUUUUAGAUUCAGAAAACGGGAAAAAACACUUCGAGAUCUAAAGCACACUUCACAUUUUAGAAAUACUAAUCCUAACAUUAAACUUUGUAUUUUCGCAUUUUCACUGUAUAUAUAUCUAUUAUUCUGUUAACUCCAUGUCUCUUUGCAUUUUUAUGUGAUAGGGCAAAAUUUGUUAUAUCCUCUAAGGCACCAGUUAUGUUUUUUUUAUCUUGAUUAACUAUGGUAAUGACUAGAUCUUACAUCAUGACCAUGGGAGGUGAUCGUUUCAUUUUUCGAACCAAUGUAUGUCCUCAAACACCAAAAGGAUCAAGAGUCCUAUAGGAAGGGUAAUAAAGAUUUCAACUCUAGUUUCUAUGGAGUCUAACCACAUGCCUAGUCGUAAACGAAUGUGUUAUAACUUUAAUACUUUAUAAUCAUUUAGGUGUCACAUUUCACAUAAAGAUCUAUCUCAAAAAUUUAUAAGUUAGGGUGAUUGCUAUCAUGGAAACAACAAGUCAAGUCGUGGAUUAUGAGGAUUGAUGAGAAAGAAAAGGUUGUGGAUAUUUAAAGAAGUUUACAUCUACUAUAACUUCACAAGAAUUAGACAGUUGUUAGUUACUUGUUACCUAUUACAGGUUUAUGUAACAAUUUAUAAUCAUGCUUAUAGGUUUUUGUUACCGUUUUAUAAAAAUAAAAAUAAAAACAUGUUUGUUAUUUAUUAUGAUGAUAAUCAUAACUAGAUUAAUUAAUUUCGUAGAUUUAACAAAUGAAAAAAAUUACACUAAACCUGGCUCGAGGUCCUAUUGAUUACGACUUCGAUAUAUUAAGACACAAAGAUUAACACAGAUAAAAUCCAUACAAUAGAGUUAAUACAUAAACCCACAAAUAUUUUCUUAAACAAAAAAUUUAUAAAUCUAAAAAUAUCUAUAUAUGUAAAAAAAAAUAUGUCCUAAAAUUUAUAUAUGUAAUACUAUACAACUAAUUAAACUGUGAAGAGUUAAACUUAACAGUAACACUACAGAUAUAUUUAACUUUGCCAAAAGGAUACAAUAGGUAUUUUCUAUGAAAGAAACUUCUAAAAUUUAUAACACGACAUAAUAAUUUUCAAGAACUAAAAAGUAAAAACACAUAACUCUAAAAACGACACGACAAAUCACAUGAAGAUAUUUGUCUUUAAAAAAAUUAAUUUUAUAGAAAUACCCUCAACUUUCGUUUAUCUUCUACCGUUCAACGCCGGUGCGAGGAAAAGACGAAGACUCGCCGGUAAACUACUUUCAAACAGUAACCGUUACAUUAAUCAACUUGCCCUAUCUUCCCAUGGAUUCUCUUCGUCACAGAUUCUCAGGUUUUUUUUUACCCUUCAAAUUUCUAGGGUUUCUUCAAUUCAAUUCUCACCCUUUUCAUUGACUCAUUACAAUUUUUUUUUCUCUUACUCUAGAAUCACCGAAAUGGACUCAGCUCCUUCUCCAUCAUCGCCGGACCUUGAAUCAUCUCCUCCGGUAUUGGUCACAAUGAAUUCAACCUCAUCUUCUUCUGAUAAUAACGUCGAAGGAGAUGAUGAUGAUGCUGCUAAUCAUGAGAUUUUCAAUUGGAGAGAAUUUUCCUCUUGUUGGAGAGUUUCAGAGUCGAACUUGUACUGCUUUAGUUUGGCUCUUCUUGUCUGGUUCUUUGGUUUGUUUCUCAACUUAUAGAUUCGUUUUUGAUUUGGUCUGCUUUUGAAAGUUUUUGUCUUUUCUUUUUUUGACUAUAUGAAUCUGACUGACUAAUUCUCGAUUGACUCAGCUUCGUUUAUUCUGAUUGAGAAUCUUUACGGACCAAAAAAUGUCUGGCUUGGACCCAAUUCUUCCAUUCUUGUUGAACCAAGCUCCAUUUUUGUCAAAAGCAUUAAGGUUGUCUGUUGUCUUGUGUCACUCUCUUAUUGUGUUUAUGUUUCUAAGGCUGUGCUAAUUUAUUGAAAAUGUCUUUGUUUCUUGUUAGGUUAAAGUGUUAGAUUAUUCUAAACCAGGGCUUCAGUUAUAUGGGUUCUAUAGAUCUCCUGCUCUGGAUUGUUUCGUCAAUUGGUCGGAAUCCCGAGUGUUACCUGUCUCAAAGGAUUCUUACAAGGCAGGUUAAAGAUUCUCAGUACUGUUUUCUUUAAAAUGUAUAUAUGGCUGCUUUUUGAACUUCAUGAGGACCUUUAUUGUAUAGACUGGAAGUGUUGUUGUCUUUUGUGUACUUCCCAUUGAAAAUUUGAUAUCAAAAGAUUUAAUCUUUACCUAUUUUUAGUCAGAAAUUAUUCUAGUUUUGAUUGUCAUUGAAUUCUCUUUUAGACUAUUUAUUGAACUGAUUUUAUUUCUCUCAGGUAUGGCCAUAUUAUCUCAACAGACGGACUUUGUUGAAUAUUACAUAUACCGUUAAACCACAAGGUUCUGCGGUUCAGCUUGUGGUCGACGAAGGUUAGUACGUUUCGUAGUGUUGUCAUUUUCUGUGUCUGCCUGUUGGUUUGAUGUUGUCAGUGAGGCUGUGAUAGAGUUAAAAUCAUGAACACAAAGAAAAACCUAAAAGCUCGACAAAAACCAAGAACUUACCUAAACCCAUUUCUCGCGUUGUUUUGUGGCAAUCGGGACUUCUUUCGUAAUUAGUAUCUACGAAAACGUAAAGCAAAAUCCAACUAGAAAUGGAAAAUAACUUUGGAUAAAAGAGGAUAUAGAGAUGAUAGAAGUCUUAAUGUAAGCAAGUUUUUUUGUUUAAAAGUGUUGCCAUGUAGGGAUAUAAACUGAUUAUGUCAAUGCUCUCAAAUCACAGGGCAUCAAGGCGACCCUCAGUCGUUUUUGAACGACCCUGCAUAUCGUUACAAAGUUUGGUCAUGGAAUCUAAUUGAGGGUUAGUCAAAUGGAAGUUCCAACUUAAAAUGCAUUGUGUUAUAGUGAUUAGUGAUUACCAUGAGUUAAUAAAAGUUCUUUACAGGGAAUGGUAUGAUUGAGUUGGAGAUAAGAAAGUCUUCAAGUUAUUAUCUUGCUGUAGCUAACUUGAAGAGGAAGGACGUAGAGGUAAUAAUUACUGAUCAAGUAAUGACUUUGGAUGACGUUUUGGUUUCUGCACUUGUUCAUUGUGUUUACUUGACAUGAUGUUUGUUCAGGUGGAACUGAAUAUUGAUGUGAGGGCUGUCUUGUAUGAUACUAAACAAUCAUUCUACAACUGUAACUUCAGCAAUGGCGAGUGCGCAUUCAAUGUUAUGCCCCUUGUUGGAAAUUCUGUUGUCGUAACUUCAACAGCAGCGAGUCAGGUAUGUAUUUGUAAAACGAAACACCAGCAGAAUUAUUAUUAUUAUGACUCUUAGCUGAAUGAAUGUUCGUCUCACUGCCUCCGGACUUAGGGAGUAUCCAUUGAAGAUGAAUGGUAUAUCAGGUUCUCAUAUCAACCUAGAGAGAUUGCAUAUGUAAUCGGCACAGGUAAACAUUUCAAUCUUUUCAAAGUCAAAUUCAUAAUUGGAUUGAGCAUUGGUUAGUUUCUUAUAACAUGUAGUAAUAUUGCAUAUGCAGGUGUGGUGAUUUGCUUCAUGUUGGUAGCUAUACAAUUUUGCAACAGGUUACAAUGCUAUGGUGGAGAGGGAUAUCUAACCGAGAAUGAUUCAGCGAGAACACGUCUACUUGAAAACAAAGAUGACGAUGGUUCAAGCAUGGGUUCGUGUAAUGAUUCUUUCGCUAACGAUGAUGCUGAUUUAGAAGAGUUUAUGGAAAAUGAUGGUGAAGCAAGUAAUCGAAGUAGACGUCUCUGUGCCAUUUGUUUUGAUGCUCCAAGAGAUUGCUUUUUCCUCCCAUGUGGCCAUAGCGUCUCCUGUUAUGAAUGCGGAACAACGUAAGUUUUUUGUCAACGAAUAUGUCUUUAAAACUUGAUAAUACACAACUAAACAUAUCAAAACUACUUGAUUGCAACAUCGGUGUUUACUAGUAGUGGGAGUUGAAUUUGAAACAUAUGCAGGAUGCAAGAAGAUGAUGGGAGUUGUCCAAUAUGUCGAAGGAAGAUGAAGAAAGUGAAGCGAAUCUUUACAGUGUAAGAUGAAUCAAAUAUAAAUCGCUAACAUAAUGUUGAAUCUAUAGAGCAUUAAUAAAAAUUAUAUUGAUAGUGACAAGGCUCAUUUCUUUCUUUGCAUAAUUAUUUCGUGUAGUCACUUGAUUCAUCUUUGUGAUAACACCUACGGUAGGCAAUGUAUAGUGAAUCAUUGUUUGUUGACUCACAUUCUGAAAUGGGAUCGCAACCGUGAACUGAUGCGCGGGAUGAGGAGAAAUGAGUUGGUAUCUCUUGGUGACUUGGUACAAAUCUAGCUCCCCUCCAACACACACAACCAUCUCCAAUGGAUACAUUUCUGUCUCUUUCUCUUGAUAUCUUUCUUGGUGAUCCAACUUUUUACUUUUGUUCUUUAUUGAUUUCUCCCAUGAUUGUUAUCUUCUUCAGAAUCCAGAAAUGAAAAUGCGUAUCUUUGCUAUAUUUUGGUUAUGAAGGAAUUAAUAUGUGAGUACAUUCAAGCAUGUAUGAUUACAUUAUUAUUAAUAGAUAAUAGAUUACCUUAGUAAUGAGAUUGAAGUAUUAUUACGAUUGUUAAUAUAAUAAUAAUAAUAAAUACAAAUCUAUCUAUCAAACCCAUAUUAAUAAAAUCUUUCACAUAAAUAUAUUGGAAUUGCUAAGUUAAAUCAAUAUAUUUUAUCUUAGCAUACUAAUAAUGAGUUAAACAGUUAGACUUAACACUAACAGUGAGUUAAACUUAACAGUUAAUUAACUUUGAACAAAGGACAAAUUGGAAAUUUCACGAAAGAAUCUCUUAAAAUUAUAUUAAAAAAAACAAAAAAGAUAACUCUGAAAAAUAAUGUUUAAAUAAAGUUAUAAAAAUACCCUCAGACUCUCGUCGACGUUACCGUUCCAAAGACGGAGAGAAAAGACGAAGACUUGCCGGAGAACAAAUAUUCAAACGAUAACCGUUACAUUAAUAAAAUUGCCCUAUCAUCUUAUCUUCCAUGGAUUCACUUCGUCACAGAUUCUCAGGUUUUUUUUUAUUAUUUUUUUUAAUUAUCCUAUAAAUCUCUAGGGUUUCUUCAAUUCAUUUCUCACCUCAUAAUUUUUUUGUCCUCUCUUUUCACUAAGAAUCACCGAAAUGGGGUCAAUUCGUGGUGAGUUUCCGCCGCACUAUGCCAGACCACCACCUCACUCCGAAGAAGAUUUCGAUGACAUCAUCGAUUGUGGCGAAACUUCGUGGGGGCUGUUUAGCGUGUCUUGCUUUAUUGGCGUUAUGUGUUUAUGGUUCAUUGGUUGGUUUGCUCAACUUGAGUCUGAUUUUUUAAGUUUUUGUCUUCUUUUUUUUGAUUAUAUGAGAAUCUGACUAAUUCCUCUAUUGCCUCAGCGUCGGUUUUUCUGAUGUUCGGUUUUUACGGUGCUGCAAAUGUCUGGCUUGGACCUCACUCGUCCGUUCUUGUUGAACCAAGCUCCAUUUUUGUCAAAAGCAUUAAGGUUUUUUUUUUUUUUUUUUUUCUCACUCUCUUCGUGUGUUUCUGUGUAUCAAGGCUGUGCUAAUUUAUAUUAUUUUUGUUAGGUGAAGGAGCUUGACUUUACAAAGCCUGGUCUUCAACUUUAUGGAUUCGAUGAUGAAUCUACUCCUAGUACUUAUUUUGUGAACUGGACUGAAUCUCGAGUGUUAUCUGUCUCACAGAAUUCUUACAAGGCAGGUUUAAAUCUCUCAGUACUGUGUCUAACUUCCUUGAGAUCUUUUAUUGUAUUGAUUGCAAGUUUUUUUUUGGGUAUUUGCCAUUGAAAUCAAAGAUUUGAUCUUUGCCCUAUAGAUUUUGUUAGAAUUUAUUCUAGCUUUGAUUAUAUAUCAAUGAAUUCUCUUUAUUGAACUGAUUUUGCUUCUCUCAGGGAUGGCCAUACUACUUAAAUAAAGGAACGCAUAUGAAUAUAUCUUAUAAUGUUUUACCUAAAGGUUCUGCAGCUCGGCUUUUGAUGUCUGAAGGUUAGUAAAAUAUUGUAGUUUGUCAUAUGCUUAUUGCUAUGCUGUGCUUGCCUGUUUGUUUGACAUUGUUAGUGAGGCUGUGAUAGAGUUUAAAAAACAUGAACAUAAAGAAAAAACCUUUUAAAGAUCUUCUUUGUUGAUGGGAACACGUAACCGAUAAACCCGCGGGAAAACCGAAUAUUUACCUAAACCCAUUUCCCGCGUUGUUUUCUUACAAUCGAGACUUCAUUUGUAUAUAGUAUUUACCUGAAAAGGAAAAUAUAUUUGAAUAAAAUAAGAGGAAAUAGGGGAGAUAGAAGUAAUGUGAGUGUGUGUUUUGUUUUGUUUGAAUGUGUUGGUUUUAGGGAUAUAAACUUAUUAUGUCAAGGCUCUCAAUUUAUAGGAAUGCCAGGCAUGUUUCGGUCGUCGUCGCUGGAGGAUCUUGCAUUUUGUGACAGAGCUUGGUCAUGGAAUCUAAUUCAGGGUUAGUCAAACGGAAGUUCCUACCUAAAAUGCAUUGAUUACAUUGAUUAUCAUGACUUAAUAAAAGUUCUUUACAGGGAGUGGUAUGAUUGAAUUGGAGAUAAAUAAGUCUAAAGGUUAUUAUCUUACUGUGGCUAACUCAAAGAGGAAGGACGUAGAGGUAAUAAUUACUGAAUCAAGUAAUAACUUUGGAUUAAGUAUUGGUUUCUGUUGUGUUUCUGCACAGUCCAGAGUACAAUGUUUUACUUGUCAUGAUGUUUGUUCAGGUGGAACUGGAUAUUGAUGUGAGAGCUGUCUUGUAUGAUACUAAUCAAUCAUCCUACAACUGUACCUUCAGCAAUGGCGAGUGCGCAUUCAAAACCAAUGAAGUGUCCCCUGUUGAAAAUUAUGCUGUCGUAACUUCACCAGCACUGGGUCAGGUAUGUACUCGAAAUAUGAAACACUAGCAAAUUGUUACUGUUAUUAUUAUUAUGACCUUUAGCUGAAUGAAUGUUCAUCUCACGGCCUCUGGCUUAGGGAGUAACCAUCGAGGAUGAAUGGUAUAUCGAGUUGUCAUAUCAACCUAGAUGGAUUGCAUAUGUAAGCUUCACAGGUAAAAAAUUUUUGCAAGAUUUUCAAAGUCAAAUUAAAAAUUGGAUUUUAGCAUUGGUUAGUUUCUCUAUAACAAAAAGAACUGGAAGCAAUUACAUGUACUAUUAUUGCAUAUGCAGGUAUUUUGUUUAGCUUCAUGCUGGUAGCUAUACAUUUCUGCAACAAGUUACAGUGCAGUGGUGGAGAGGGACUUCUAACCGAAAAUGAUUCAGCGAGAACACAUCUACUUGCAGACAAAGAUGAUGAUGAUUCGUGUAAUGAUGGCGAAGCAAGUAACAGAAGUAGAUGUGUCUGUGCCAUUUGUUUUGAUGCUCCAAGAGAUUGUUUUAUCUUCCCGUGUGGCCAUUGCGUCUCCUGUUAUCAGUGCGGAACAAAGUAAGUUUUUAUCUACUAAUGUACAACUUCUUGAUUGCAACAUUGUAAUGCUAAUGUGUUUAUCAUAUUGGGAUUGGUCUAAAAUAUCAAACGUUGUGAAUUGACAAUAUGUGCAGGAUAAAAAGAGCCAAGGGGAGGUGUCCAAUAUGUCGAAAGAAAAUGAUGCUAGUGAAGCGAAUCUAUACAGUGUAAGAUGUAUCUUUAACUGUCCAAUGUAAUGGUGAAGCAAUGGAACAUUAAUAAAAAUCAUAUAAUUUGAUAUUGACAAGACUCAGUUCUUUCUCUGCAUUCAUUCGUUUCAAUCUCUUGAGCAUCUUUGUGAUAUCACCAUUUGUUAACUACCAUAGGGUAGGGAAUAUAGUGAAUCGCUGUUUGUUGACUCACAUCGCGAAAUGGGAUUGAAACCCCGAACCGGUAAGUCAGGACUUGGGACCAUAGCUUUGUAGUCGAGUAUUGAUGUGGGAUAGGGAGAAAUGAGAUGGUGACUUGGGGAACAUAUACGCGGUGGUGUGUGAUUGAACCGCACAAAUCUAUCUUCCCUCUAACACAGACACAGUCCCUUUCCAAUGCACAACUUUCUUUUAAUUCUUCUUCUUCCUAUCUUACCUUUAGAUCUUCUACACCCAGAAAUGAAAAUGCAUAUGUAUAUUGCACAUUAUAUGUUGUCGAACAAAGUACUACUAUUGUAUCCUCUUAGGAUUUACAAGUCUAUAAGUUUUAAAGAUGAAAGAGAACAAAAACUGAUAAAGAGGUCUUGGGUUCGAAGUACACUUGAGAGUUGAGACUUGAGAGUAAGAGCAUGCCCAUUAGUUAAGAUACCCAUGAAAGAUGCUCUAACGUUAUUUCCAAAAAAAUUGUUUACAAGCUGACUCUAGAUCGCGGGAAAUCAGAAGAUUCUGAUCCGUUGUAUAAAAUUAUAUGGAUGAUAUGUUACGAUUCAGAUUAGGACACGAUUAUUGAUUUUAUGUUAUAAUUUUGUUUAUUUUUUCAAGAUUUUUAAAUUCUAAUUAUAGUAUUUCUUAAAGUUUUUAGAAAGAUUAUUACGACAAAUUUUCAUGUUUUAUAUAUUAUGUAUGAGUGUUUUGUUAUCUCUAUUUUUAGUUAAAUACCUCUCUAAAGAGUUUUCUUAAAUUAAAUUUUUAAUUUUUGAAUAACUUCGGAUUUAAUAUAUGAAUUAUUGACUGAAUAAUUAAGGAUUGCAAGUUAUUUGAUUAAAUUUCAUAUUUUUUCCAAAAUCUCCACACAUUUUUUACCAAAAAAAACAACAACACACUUGCACACAUAACAUAUCCGAAUCAGUGGUUCUUCGACAUACACGAUGAUAUAGGGAACUGAGCUUCCACGUCAACAAGAUAAUAAUCUCUCCAGUGUUCAUGGUCUUACACCAAAAGAAACAAAUCUUGUGGUCAAAGUUUCCAAACGUAGCUUCUCCUCUCUACACUCCCCUGCACAACAAUCAACGUACCCUUUCAUUAACAACCGUACGAUGAACUUACUUUGACUAUCUUUUCUCAAUCCAACAGCUCACAAUCCACAAACAAAUUUCAAAUCGCGCCUCACUCUCUCCAUAUAUAAUCCCGUCUCUCCUCUGCUCCACACUCUCUCAAAACCCUAGAAAAAAAUGGCAGCAACCGGAGUUGUGGCGGUGUACGGCGAAGGAGCCAUGACGGAGACGAAGCAGAAAUCUCCCUUCUCCGUCAAGGUUGGUCUCGCUCAGAUGCUUCGUGGCGGUGUUAUCAUGGACGUCGUCAACGCAGAGCAAGCUCGAAUCGCUGAAGAAGCCGGCGCUUGCGCCGUGAUGGCUCUUGAACGUGUACCUGCCGAUAUUCGAGCUCAAGGGGGUGUUGCUCGAAUGAGCGAUCCUGAGAUGAUUAAAGAAAUCAAAAACGCCGUGACGAUCCCGGUGAUGGCGAAGGCACGAAUUGGUCAUUUCGUUGAAGCUCAGAUCUUGGAAGCAAUCGGAGUUGAUUACGUCGACGAGAGUGAAGUUCUCACUCUCGCCGACGAAGAUAAUCACAUCAACAAACAUAAUUUCAAAAUCCCUUUUGUUUGUGGAUGUAGGAACCUCGGUGAAGCUUUAAGGCGGAUCCGUGAAGGAGCCGCCAUGAUAAGAACUAAAGGAGAGGCUGGAACUGGAAACGUUGUUGAAGCCGUUAGGCACGUGAGGAGUGUGAACGGAGCUAUUCGGUUACUUAGAAACAUGGACGAUGACGAAGUUUUCACUUUCGCGAAAAAGAUCGCUGCGCCGUAUGAUUUGGUUGUGCAGACGAAGGAGCUUGGGAGGUUACCGGUGGUUCAAUUCGCUGCCGGGGGAGUUGCGACUCCCGCGGACGCGGCUUUGAUGAUGCAGUUGGGAUGUGAUGGAGUGUUUGUUGGGUCGGGUGUUUUCAAGAGUGGAGAUCCGGUGAAAAGGGCUAAGGCGAUUGUGCAGGCGGUUACGAAUUAUAGAGACGCGGCGGUGUUGGCGGAGGUGAGCUGUGGUUUAGGUGAAGCCAUGGUUGGUCUUAAUUUGGAUGAUAAGGUUGAGAGGUUCGCUAGCCGUUCUGAGUAACCAAUCAAAUUUCAGCUGUUUUUAUCCUUACUUUAAAAUGUAUCCACAAAACCAAUAUUCUCGAUUUAUUCAAAAUUUUAUAGAAAAAAAAAUUGGAAAUGAGGAUUUUGUUGGCUAGUGAGUGCCAACCAUAAUUUCAUGGGACUAAUGGUAAAUUCUACAACUAAGUUUUUGUGAAAUUAACAUUAUCAAACCUCAGGAGAGAGCAGCAAUAUAUAUUUUUUUCAGUAACACAAGAGGCUAAAAAAAAAAGUUAACAUGAGAAUCUGAAUUGAUACCAAUUUUAUAAGUUUUUCUUUCAUAUAGUGUAAAGAUACGGUUUACAUAUUAUUUAGUAACGACUAUAUCAAGGACAUAGGAAUAAGAGAUUAUACUUGGAAUGUGUAUCAAUUAUCAUCUACUUAAUAACAGUGAAUCAACCUGGUUUUUUCCACAAGGACCCUUUUGCCGUAUCAGAGAACGGUACUCGUCGAACCUGAUCGGUUUAUAAAGAGCAGGUCGGUUUUCUGUUACUAGUUCUUCGAUUGGUCCAAUCGGGAUAUCACUUCUCGGGUUAUAGAAGAAUGCCAAAGAGACUCGUUCCAUACCGGAAUUAACGAUCACUUGAUGCUCCACACUUUUGUAAAUUCCAUUGCUAAGUAUCUACAUAUCGAUAUAUCCAACAUUAUUAUUGGUUAGUAUUUGUAGAGUCCAUUUCAAGAAAGUAGAUCAAUUAUCACACAAUAUUAAGUUUAAGAAAGUAAGAUAUUAUACCUGAAUCUGAUCCCCAAUGUUAACGAUCAAAGCAUUGGGGACUGAUUUAACGGUGAUCCAGCCAUCACAACGACGGACCUGGAGGCCAGCGACCUUCUCGUCCGGGAGAAGAAUGGUGAUGCCACCAGGGUCAGAAUGGGAAGAUAGACCUAGAGUGAGAUGUGGCUGAGGGCAUUUUGGGUAGUAGUUUGUCCUGAGAGAAGCUCCGACUUUGUCUUCUCCUCCUAAAGCCUUCAUGAGAUGGUUUGGUUCUAAACCUAAACUCUCUGACAAUGUCUCCGUCAGCCUCUCGCACAGUUUUUUCACUUCUUCUCCGUACUCUUCAAUCAAUUCUCUGCACAUAAAUUAGUUUUUUCCUCGAUAUAUGUUAAUUACAAAUUAUCUUUAUCUCUAUGAGAGAAAUAUAGAACAGAAAAUCUAUAAUUGGUUAAUAGAUUUAUUUUCUCGAUAUUAAUUCAAUCGAUGCCUAUAUAAAACUUUAUUGUGAGAUCCGUUAACUGAAUUUUUUUUUGAAGUAAGCCAUCAGUAAAUCUCAAGACCUAAGUUAUAAAUAACACAAGAUUUCCAUUUUAUUUAAUUUGGUCGAUCGGUCAAACAUGUGUAUAUACACAUUUAUUUAUGUAUUAUAAAAGAAAAGUCAUGUUUCACGUGGGUAUAAUGACCAUAUGUAACGUGUUCACACAUAAGACACGUGCCUUAAAUAAACAUUUAGACCAAACGGCCAUGUGUGUACGUUUAUGCAAUCUGAGUACUUCCACAUAAUUCAGAUGCUUGAACUCCUAAAAAUAAAAAACACACACAAGUAACGUGUCCCCAUAUAUGCAAAACAUUCACUUAGUAAGAAAUCUCCUUUUAGUAAACGGUUUCGUAAACAUCUACAAUUUCUACACUCAGGAAUAUAAAUAUAUAGACCUAAACCACAUAUGUAUAGACAAAUAAAUUACAAGAAUUUAUAUGCAUGGGUACCUGAUCUUAGGAGGCUGAGAUGGCCACUUGGAGGGGCUUCUUAUGGAAGAAGGCAAGUAAUUGAGGAAGAAAUAAUCACUCCAAUCUAAUUUAGCAUCUUUCACAACCCCAAGGCGGCUUCCAUAUCCCUCGUACGUGUCCGGUGAGUUUGCAUACUUCCGUUUCUCGUCUAGCGGUAGCUCGAAGAACUCUCGCCACGCUCCUCUCACGCUCUCCAUCAGCGAGUGGUUCACACCAUGGUUCACCAUUUGGAAAAAACCCCACUCCUCACACGCGCUCCUCACGAGCCUUAACCCCUCUGGUUUCCCCCAAACGUCGUCCAUGUCUAGAACGGGGAUUUCCAUCUCAGCAUCGGAUUGGGUGGUGUUAAAGACCGGUCUCUGAUGAGCCGGUUUUACAUAGCGGUUUGGUACAGUUGGUACACCGGUUUGGGACAAGGAUUGCACGGAAACAAUUGGCUCAGGCCAGCAUGUAGCCAUUUUGUGAAUUGUUUUGGAAGUUAGAAAAAAAGGAUAUGAAGAUACUCAAGGAGAGAAAUGUAGUGGAAGAAUGAAUGUUGUAGAUGGUGGAAGAAACAAGGACGAGUGGGGAUAUAAAUAGGGAAAAUUGUAAAACCAAAAUGAAACGUGAAACAAUUAAUGAUACGAUGAUAUUCUUUUAUUCCAGACUUUUUUUUCUAUUGAAUAUUGAGGUCGACAAAAUAAAACCUUGCAUGCUAAGCUAGUUGGAUGAUAAACAUAAUAAGACACGUUUUAAAAGAGUUGUGGAUAAAUGUCGACAAUAUUGCUUUUUUGUGUCUUCAGUGACUUUUGAAGUGAAGGAGAUAGGGAACGAAUUUCGGCGCCGUGCGACGGUUUGCAACAUGUACAAAAGUAAUAAACAAUGUGUUUAUGUAAAUUAAAUGAUUAUGCUUUAGUACUUUUGCAUCUUAUAGAAUAAGAGUUUAAUGACUUUUGCACGAUUGACAGACUUUAAAAUACCAAAUCAACAACAGAUUAUCGGUGGAGGUCAUGCCAACAUUUGGAACGAAAACAGCCAAACCCAUAGUGUAUUUUUUCCAUGUUCAUUGUAUUUCUAUAGACUAAAGUAGAGAUCAUCAUGUAAGUGGUGCACAAUUUAAAUUAUUGUUUUGAUUUGUAAUCCACAAAAGCCAAAAAACAAACAAAUACCAAAAUUGUUUUGAAAAAUGGUUUCAGUAUAAUGGUUGAACCAUCUUCUGAUUGGUGCAACAUUGUUGAAUGAUUUUGGAUGAAUGAAAUUCCCAAAAAAAUAAUUAUAAAAUACUCAAAAACUUAUUUAAAUGAUAUUUUUUUCAAUUAUAUUUCUAACAUGUCUAUGAUAUAUAUAUAACAAAACGUUUAAGACAAAUGUUUAAACAUGAGAAUAGAAUCACGUUUUCAAAACGUGACAACUAAAGAUAUACCGUUUAUCAAUCUAACUCUGUUAAAUUUUCUAUUUCUUAUUCUACAAAUGUUAUUUUGACGCUAUAAAUGGUAUUUCUAACAUGUCUAUGAUAUAUUCAUCGUAUAUAUCUAUUUUCUUUUAUCUUCUAGAUCGAGAUAUGUCAAAAAUAAAUACUAGAUUCGUGAUGUUGACAAAGAAAUUGUCCGCCUAAUAUGUUGAAUACUGUGAACGUAAAUGAUGUGAUAAUUAAAUAAAUGAAUCAAUUACCAAAUAAGGAUUUUUAGUGGCAUUCAUAGAUUUGUCACUUUGCCUAAAGUAUAUUAGAUUUGCCAAUUUUUUAAUAUCUAAAAAUACCCUUUAACACAUUUGGGUUUAUUUGGUUCUACCCUUUUUACAGUAAAACCUCUAUAAAUUAAUAAUGUUGUGACCAUGAUAAUUUAUUAAUUUAUAGUGAUAUUAAUUUAUCUAUAAAUUAAUACUUAUUAGUUUAUCUAUAAAUACUUAUUAAUUUAUAGAGUAAAUGAAUAUUUAUUAAUUUAUAGAAAUUUUGUUUCAAUUGUGAAAACUUUUUGAAAAAAAUAUGAGCCAAAGCAAUAUAAUCUAAAUAACAUUAAUGUUUUGGAUGUUAUAAUUUUAUAGUUUUAAACUUAAACACUUAAUAUUUCGAAGAGAAAAUAAUCUCUUUUGACAAUGAAUAACAACGAUUAUAGAAUUCACAUAUACAAACGAUAUACAUAAAUUAAAAUUCAAAAAACAGUGACAUCCAUUGUUGUAUUUUAAAAACCUAUACGACUAUUAAAACAAACAUUACGCAUAUUCAAAAUUUGAAAACUUACAAAAACUUUUGGCUAUUUUAUGAAAACACUAACACUACAUAGGGAUUUCAAAAAACUUAUUAUCUUAUUACCUUAUCGAAUUUGGUUAAUUUUUACACCGGUUCGAAUUGGGACCACCAAAAUUUAUUAAUUUAUCGUGUUUAUUAAUUUAUCGAGUAUUAAUUUAUAGAGGUUCUACUGUAUAAUUUUUUUUAAGGAAUAGUAUUUAUAAUUAAGUAUGUAUUUUAUAGAAAAAAUAGAAACAUAAGAGAAUAAAAUUCUCAAAUAUGUAUUUUAUCUUAAAAGUUCCUCUAAAAUUUAGCUUUUAAGUGGCAGAAAAUGGAAAAUUUAAAAUAGUUUAGAUAAAGUGACAAAUCUAAAAUGGCAAAAUCAAUAAUAAUCCAAAAACAAAAUAACAUCUAACUCGUUGAUUGUUUUGAAGACAACAGCUAUGUGGCCAAGAAAAAAUGAAGAAAAAACCAAAAUCAAAAUGUGGGCUACUGACCUACUGUGUAUAGGAUGCAUUCAUUUACAGCUACCAAACGCACACGUGAACAAAAGUAUUUUUAUUUUUGAUAAAUUUUUUUUUUGUUUCUGAUAAACACUAUAUAAAAUUAAAGGUAAUCGAAAAUAAAAUGAAUUAAUUACGGAUUUUGCCCUUUGUUAUAAUGGCAUUUGUGGAUUUUGCCAUUUUUUGAAUAGUUUGUGGAUUUUGCCAUUUUUCAAUCUCCAAAAAUAUGAUUUAACAUGCGUUUCACUCGUUAUGUUUGAGUUUAGUCGGUUCCAUUUGUUCUUAGAGUUUAGUAUUUGGUAUAAAGUACGUAUUUUUGCAAAAAAAAAUCAUAAAUACGUACAUUUUUAAGUGUUAAAAAAGGGCAAAAUCCGUAAACUAUUUAAAAAAUAGUAUUUUUGUAAGUUUUUCCAAAAAAAAAUGGCAUUUUAGACAAUAAUCCCAAAUAAAAUUCUACAUUAAAGUCUUUUCGAUGCUGUAUUUGAAGGUUCCUAUUUAUAUUAUUAAAAUGUGUUGUUUCUAAAGUAUAUAUAUCCUUUUCUUCACUCUACAAUUUUUUUGUUUGCUAACAAUUUUACCUUCACUGUUUACUAUACAAAAAACCUCUGUAUUAGUGAAUAAUAUAUGCAAUAGAACAGAUUGUGACAACAAUUUGUGAUGGAAGUUAAUUAAGACAAUUUUGCAGCGGUAUUUAAAGCCGCAAACAACACAAAAUUGAUAUAGAUUUUAUGGUCCCUAAAGAACUUCAAAAUUUGUUUUAAGUUUUUCGCAAUAAAAAUAGAAUAAAAAAUUAGCUAGGAACUAUAUACUCUGGUCACAAAAACCAUAGGAAAUGUAGCUUUUGAAAAAAUUCACCAUAAAUUGGUUCUGAUCUUUUUAUAUCGACAUAAAUUUGGUGAAAGUCCAAAUAACAUAAUCAAACAAGUGGUUCCUUCAACAGAUUAACAAACGAGGCAAAAUAAAAGUGAAUGAACAAAGCAGACAAAGAUUUUUCCAAACUUCAUUUAAGAGACUAGAUCGACUUUAGUCCUUUUCUUUAGAGAGUUGCAGUUUUUAUUUAUUGGUAGGGUUACACAAAUUGUUCUUAUGUGAGUCCAAUUGCCAAAUUGUACAUCACUCGAAGACAAAUUGGGCCCAAACUGUGUAGAAUGGGUUUGGGCUGACAACCCAUAGUAAACCUUGGUUGAAAAUGAAAUCAGUUUGCUUUAAGAAUUCAAAAUUGGCCUAACAAGUUUCACAUCUCUAGAAUGCUUGCUAUUCCACGCACGUGUCACACUAUAAUUCGUGUUUUCGUGAAUGAAGAAAUUAUUACACCACUUUUGUUAUUUUUGUAACUAUCUAAUCUAACACGUGAAGGAAUUUAGGAAACGAGAGAUUCUAGAGAAGUAAUCAUAGUUUUGUAUUUUUUUAAAGUGCUUAAAAUCAGAAAAAGAUCGAGUUUUCCGGAAAAAAGAAAAAUAAACAAAUUGGUUUACCUGGUAGUCAGAAGGCAUUCCAAACUCGGGAUUGUGGGAAGUCCUCCCUCCUGUUGUUAUCAACAUUAUUGUAGGAAGUCUGUCAGUUGGACUUUGGUCCAAUUGGUUUACCUGGUAGUCAGAAAUGCAGGCGGUCUAACUAUCCUUGGCACUCAGUCGGAAGGUAUUCCAAACUCGGGAUAGGCAGAGUGGUAGCCCGAAGGACCUAGCCGUUAACACGGUGGACCAGUCCACUAUGUACUAUGUAGCACCUCGGUGCGUUCCUACCGGGACCGACUGGGUAGCUGAUAGUGUUUAUCAAAAAAAAAAAAACAAAGAUAAAGUCGUAAAUAGAAACUUGGGCAUGAAGCUAAGGAUAUGACUGGUCGCCUAGAAUUUAUAACCACACAGUAUUAUUACAAAAGUAUACAAACCGAAACUUCUGGCAGUGAUGAUGAAACCUCAACGCAAUGUUAUCGUCACAUCAAUUUAAUACCUCAUUAUAAUAUGAAUGAAAAGGCAGAUUAAACAGAAAAAUACUUAUUUUUAUUUUAAAAAAUAAGAAAAUAUUAAUACUCACCUAUGUUUUUCUUACACUUUUCACCCUAUAGCUUUUUUGGACAAAAGAAAAAUUUUAUUAUAUUAUUUUAGGACUUGACUUUCUGUUAAAAAUUUAACAAAUUCUCAUCAUUUUUAUUAAAUUUAUUAUUUUUACCGAACUAACUCCGUAAUUAAUUCAUUUCAUACACAUUAUUUGACCAUAUGUCGACUGUCAGAAUCUAGAAUACUAUUUGUCAAAUGAAAGUAAUUACAUUAUGAGAUAACGAUAGAAAUAUCCACAUCCCUCCUGAUCACCAGUCAACAUAUCUUUUAUUAACGAAUUGACUGAUAAUUUAAGACGCUAAUCCCUUGCUCUAUAGAUCAUUUAAAAUUCCAACCAAAAAAAAAAAAGAUCAUUUAAAUUAAUAAUUUAACAUAUUCUAGUACUAAUUAUUAAUAUGACAUCUACCGAAAGCUUUUUUCUUUUUAAUAUUUUGUCAAAAGAAGACACACAAAAAAAGUAAAUUAUAUUAGAAAAAAUCCAAGACAAUAUAGAAAGAAAAAAAAAAAAGUAAACGCGUAGACAGAUGGCGACAGGAGAAAGAGAGAGUGGAGAAGAAGAAAAGAAUUGCGAUCAAAGAAAAUUAGACAUCUUUCUUCCAACGUUUUCACAUUACAAAACACAAACCAAAAGAUAAAGAAAACAAGAAAUAUUUUUUCUUCGAUCUGAAAAAGUGAAAGCUUCUUCUAAAAUCACAAAACAAAAUCUUUUGCUUUAAAGAUCGUUUGGUGAUUUUGUUUUUUGUUUUUUUUUUACUAGUUCUUCUUGAUUCUUUCAUAUGGAUGGACAUCAGCAUCAUCACCUUCACCAGCUUCAAUAUCUCAACAAGCAUCAUCUUCAUCAUCCUCAAUCGCAAACGCCGGAAAUAGCGUCUCCGGUAGCGGUUGGGGAUAGGUUUCCACAGUGGAGCGUUGAAGAGACAAAAGAGUUGAUAGGGAUAAGAGGAGAGCUAGAUCAGACUUUCAUGGAGACAAAACGGAACAAGCUUCUUUGGGAAGUUAUCUCUAACAAGAUGAGAGACAAAAGCUUUCCUCGUAGCCCUGAACAGUGCAAAUGCAAGUGGAAGAACCUCGUCACUCGUUUUAAGGUCUCUUCUCUCUCCCUCUUCUUACAUUUUGUGGAUGUGUUAUAAUCUUGGAGGUCUUGCAUGGAACAAAUAAAUCAUUUUUUUUUGUAACCAAUAAAUAUUGAAUCUUAUAUAGUCCAUAAUCUUUCAGGGACAAAGACAAUCUUGUUGUCCAUAAUAUUCUGAGUAGUUUAGUUUUAUAUGCAUAUAUAGUCUCAUUGGUAAUGUAUUGGUUGAUGUUUCUAGGGAUGUGAGACAAUGGAGGCAGAGACAGCGAGACAACAGUUCCCUUUUUAUGAUGAUAUGCAAAUUAUAUUUACCACUAGAAUGCAGAGAAUGCUAUGGGCUGAAUCCGAGGGAGGAGGAGGGGGAACAAGCGGGACAGCGAGAAAGAGAGAGUAUUCUUCAGAAGAGGAUCAAGAAGAGAAUGUGAAUGAAGAGCUACUAGAUGUUAGCAACGACCCGAAAAUCCUAAACCCGAAAAAGAACAUUGCAAAGAAGCGAAAAGGCGGUAGUAAUAGUAGUAGUAUCAAUAUUGGUGUAAGAGAAGUGUUGGAAGAGUUUAUGAGACAUCAAGUGAGAAUGGAGAGCGAGUGGAGAGAAGUAUGGGAAGCGAGGGAGAAGGAAAGAGCAGAGAAAGAAGAAGAAUGGAGAAGGAAGAUGGAGGAGCUUGAGAAGGAGAGGUUGGCAAUGGAGCGGAUGUGGCGGGAUAGAGAGGAGCAACGGCGGUCGAGGGAGGAGAUGAGAGCAGAGAAGAGGGAUUCACUUAUCAAUGCAUUGCUUGCUAAGCUUACUAGAGAUGGUUCCCUCUAAUCUUUUAUCAGAUUUUCUUAACCUAAAUUAAAUUGUUCUUAUAUGCUUGUUUGGGGUGUAGUGUAGGUACAAUUAUUUGGUGGGGGAAGAGAAUAUCUAUGGCAAAGCUCAACACUCAUAUAUUGAUUGAUAUGAUGGCAUAUUUGAGUUUGAGUGAGGCUUUAGUUAUAUAUCAACCCCACAUUAUUCUUCCUGGUUUAUAUUUUGGUGAGCCAAAUUCUUAUAGCAUAUCAUUUAAUCUUAGUAGUAUAAUGGUUUUAAUUAGUAAUUCGUAGGACGAUAUUGCAUGUGUAGUAUUUUAGACUAAUUUGAAUUUUGUUAGAGAUAACCUACAAAUCCAUAGUGUUGGCGAAUGUAAUAUCGGUCCCAAAAAUUAUCUUCAUGCAGAAGAGAACGAAGAUUAGUUUGUUCGUUUGGUUGCCGCAAGUAGUUGCGGUAGCGGCAGACGCAGGUGAAGUUGUUCGUUUGGUCGCCGCAUAUACGUGCGGCAUAACGCUGCGGCAUGCAAAGGCCUCUUUCUGCGGCUAAAAAAUUUGGACGCUAAUUAAAGUCAGCGUCAAACGAUUAAAAGCUGCCGCUGCCGCUGCCGCAGUUUCUGCGGCGACAAAACGAACAACAACCUGUCGUAAUGUUUGCCGCCGCCGCUACCGCCUACGACGAAACGAACAGACUCGAUACUAAGAUUUUUAUGGACUAACUUUGAUGAAAAUGUAGAGAUCAAGAGAGCAAAACACAAAUUAGUAUCAAACAUGCUAGAUCAAAGAAUGAAAAGUUAUCCUAUGAAUUAUGGGACCAUUUAGGUCCAUUGCCUGUGAUCUGAACUUUUAUUAUUUUAACAUAUUUUUUUCUUUUCUUUUACGAUGUUUGAGAAUAAUAGUAUCUAACAAGGCAAGACAAUACGGCAUUGCGUCUGGCGUUUCUUAUCCACAUAAAUUUGUUUACAUAUAUAUAUAUAUUUUUUUUGUUUUUGUAUUAGGACCGAAAUUGUAUUUUGUUUUGUAAAUUUAUAUUUAUAUAUUAAGGAGAUCCUUACUGAAUAAACACAUCACGUGUUAUUCUAGCAAAUACUUAAAUCAGUUUUAUUUUGUAGAUCGUCUCUCAAUUGGAAAGAGUAUAGUGGGUGAUUGGUUCGUCUGUACCUGUACAUUUAUUGAUGUAAAAUUUCUGCUGUAGGUGUGAUGACUAUAGCUGUAAGUUUAUUACAGUAGAAAUUAGGCUGUAAGUUUUAUUAAUAUAAUAUUAUUAUUUAAAUAAAUUAGUUGUAGAAAUAAGAUUUUGGUUGUAUGUAUUUUUAAACAAAAAAUAUGAUUGGUAAAUAGUACGUGUUAUAUAAUAUUGUUCACAAAUAUAAAUUUAAUAAAUUAUGAUAUACAUAUACAUUAUAAAAACAAUGUGAGUUAUAUAUAUUUUUUGCCCAAAAAAAGAGUUAUAUAUAUGUCAUAAAGUAUAUGUUUACCUACUAUUUAUAACCAUAAAAAUAAAUUUUUAUAAUAUAUUUAUGGAUGAAAACUAUAAUAAUGUUUUUAAAGAAAAGAAGAAAAUAAAAUGGAAAGAAGAAAAAAAAGAUACAACCCUUCUAAAAACCAAAAAGUUGUGCUUUAGAAAAACUUGUACUUACAGCCAAAAUAAUUAAAAAAAUAUUGUUUGGGCUGUGAGAAAAAAUAGGAAAGCUACAUCAAGAUUGUUUCAAUUUUGGAGCUGUAGCUUUUUUAGUAAAUUUAUAAAUUUCCUAUAACCCAAUCAAUCAUGCCCAUAUAUGUCUUACCAUCUUAAGGCCGGUUUUUUUUGGUAGAAAGUUUAAGGCUUUAUAUUUAUAGUCUUUCAUAAGAUUUUUGAAUCUAAAAUUAUAAAUUUAGUAUUUGACUCUUUCAGUCAUUUAAUAUAUAUAAAAAAGAGAGUAUAAUUCGAAAUUGAUGACUCAAAACAAAUUCAAGAUAUUUAAUUUUCUAAAAAUGCAUGGAACAAAAGAAGUGGCAAACAUAGUUAUCUUUAUCCCACGUUUGGAUUAAAGUUUUCAAAAUUUUUUGUAUUCAAUAUCAAAUGGUAAACUUCAGCGGACUGAUAUUUUAAAGGGUAUACAAAGGUUAACGCGCUUAACUUGAAGCAAUAUUGAAUCGAAGAAUCAUGGAUCCUCUUCUGAAAUGGACAAUAAGUAAUGGAAGAAAGCAGUAUUCUAAAUCUAAGCAAUGUAAAAUGUGUACGAUAAAAUUUUUUUUUGUUUUACAAAUUAAAAAUUUUAGAUUCGUAACCAAGUUCUUAUGUACAGUAGAAAUUUAAGACUUUUUGAUUCUUUUCUCGGUUGGUAAUAGCAUCUCCAGUCGUUGAGAGACUCAAAUACGUUUCUUACAGAUUUAUAUUGUUAUUUUGGGAGACUCACAAAAAUGCUCAUUUUCUCAUGACCUUUUUCAAAAAUACUCUCUCCCUAAUAGCUUUCCUGAAACUGACCAUUUUACCUUUAAUGAGAAUUUAACCUAAAUAAAAAACCCUAGCUCCCAUCACCCAGAUUGCCGCCGACUACGCCGCCGCCGACGAGAUCUAUUUUCAUCUUCUCACAGGAGGAGAUCCAGCGAUUGAGAGAGAAUCUACGCCUUUGAUUUAUCCAAAACUCGAUUUCGUUGCUAGAUUUGUCAUGUUUAUGUAUUUCAACAUUUUUCUUCUGUCAAUAUGAUGAAAUCUCUCAGAUUUGGAUUCUCAAUUUUCUGUAAUCACACAAAAAUCCUCUUUAAUCUCUUAUUCUUCGGCUUAAGUUUGAUUUCACGGUUUCAAUUUCGAUUUCAAAAACGAUUGUUGUUUUUUGUUCCUUUAAAAUACUUUGUAAAUCCUUUUAAAACCUUUAAAAUACCUUGUAAAACCUUUUUAAACAUUUAAAAUAACCUUUAAAAUACAUUGUAAAACCUUUUAGAACUUUUAAAAUACAUUGUAAAACCUUUUAAAAACCUUUAAAAUACCUUGUAAAACCUUUUUAAACAUUUAAAAUAACCUUUAAAAUACAUUGUAAAACCUUUUAGAACUUUUAAAAUACAUUGUAAAACCUUUUAAAACCUUUAAAAUACCUUGUAAAAUUUUUACAAUACCUUGUAAACUCUUUUAAAUACAUUGUAAAACCUUUUUAAAAGCAUGUACAACCUUUAAAAUACGUUGUAACAUCCAUAAGUGGAAUAAAUUAAAGAUGAUAUACAGAUUUCGCUUGAAAAAAGCUUCUAAAAGACAGAGAUCGGUUACCUGGAAUUGACAGAGACGAACACAGAGGGAGAGUGAUAUAGAUCUCGCUUGAAAAAUCGAACCCAACAGAUCUGGAUUGAAACGCUUGAAAAAUCGAACCCAACAGAUCUGGAUUGAAACGCUUGAAAAUCGUUCGAAUUUGAAAAUCGUUCGAAUUUUACAUCUAGUGGGAUUCGAAUUAGGAAUCAACAACGGUGUCGCCGGCUCCUCCGCCAUUUUCAACAGAUUACGGGUUCGAUGGAGCAGACGACGACAAGAGAAGAUGGGAUUUUAGGGUUUUGGCCUGCAACAUGUAUCUCAUUAAACAAGGGUAUUUUAAUCAGUUUAGAUAUUUUUGAGAGGCAUUUUUAAAAAUGACCAACUGAAAGGAACAUCAUUAAAAAAGGGCAUUAUUAACAAUUUUUCUAUUUUAAAAUCAUUAGAUAAUUUAAUUAAAAUUUAUUUAAUAAAGAAACUGAACAAUUCAUGAGAAGACACUUGCCUUUAAAAAUUUCUCAAAUGAGAACAGUUUAUUGUGUUUUAAUGUUAAAAUGCCCUUUUAGAGAUCCGUGCAAUGAAAAAACGCUUCUCUCUCUUCCCACUAUAGAUUUUUCAGAGAGAGAAAGCGGUGAGUAAAAUUAUGGCUUACCAUUUUAUGGAGAUACUCUAAAAAACAAUAGAUUAAUUGGUUUUAAUGUUAAAAUAUUUUUUUGGAGGAUUUGGAGGAAAUACUUUUACUAUAGAUUAAUUGGUUAUAAUGAAAAUAUUUUUUUAGAUCUCUGCAAUGGAGAUACUCUAAAAGCAAUAGAUUAUGUAAAAUUAUUGUUUUUUUUUUUUUUGAAAUUACUUUCUCAUUCACACAUGCUUAAGCUUUUUUUUAAUAUGUUAAAUACUUCUAGUUCACAAGAUGAAAUUAGUUUAGUCAAAUUUUAUUUCUGUUGCAAAUUUAAUAUAGUUUCAGUUGAUACAUAUUAAUUCAUCUAUCAUCAAAUAUCACAGUUUCCACCUGGUCCCCCAAAAGAGAAAGCUACUCCAUUUGGCUUGGAAUAACCCCAGUAUGAUAAUCUAUAACACUGAUAAGAAUCUGCAUAUUGCCUUGCUCUCCUAUCUUCAAUAUCAACUAGUUGAUAAUUUGAAUUCUUCACUUUAACAUGAAUAUAAUAUGAACUUUUAUGAAAGUCAAAAACCGGAAAAUGUCCAUUUCCCAUUGGAGGACUAAUUCCAUUUGGAGAUGUAAAAGUAUUUCCUCCAAAUCGCACCAAAGAAGCUCCUUUAUUUAAGUGUGUGAAUAGUUCUUUGGGCCAAUAACCAAUUAUUUCAUCAAAGAUUUUUAGUGCCCAAUUUCCGCUGAAACCAUCCUAAUAAAGUAUAAAACACAAAAAAAUAAUUACAAAGAUAUUUAAAUUUUAUGCGCAUAUAUGUUAUUUUAACAAAAAAAAUUGACACACUAUAUUGAAUAAUGAAAAAUUAUAAUGAGGGUGAACCCGAUUAUUUCAGAAGCCUAAACAAAGAACUUGAAUUUGUGGCAUUUAUUAAAAUAAUUAAUAACUACAAUUCCUAUCAUUGUUGGCAAAUAAUUAUUUCUCUUAUAAAAUGUGAAGAAAAUUUACCUGUAAAACUUGUGGUAUGAUAACAAAUGUUUCUUUACCACCAUAAAUAGAGGAUUUAUUAAUAAAGCUUCCAAUAACAGGAAAUGGAUUUAUAAUAACAAAACCAGGACACUUUGUAUUAUAACACCCCGUUUUCUUAUAUCCAUCUGCCUGAUAAAUUCAAAAGAGGCAAAAUAUUUUGAGACACAAAGAUACAAAAAGGCAACAAAUGGUUUAUUUUUAUAAACAUACAAAGAUAUGGUUUAUUUUUAUAAAGAUACAAAGAUAUAAAGACUAUUUUUUAUAAUCACAAAGUUUUAUUGGUUUGUCAUGUAUAAAGAAACAUAAUUAUUCGCAAAAAAAAAAACACAUAACUAAGUCACUUACAGUCCAAUAUAUUGUAAAUCGCGUCAAAGUAUCCCCGUAUAAUCUUGGAUGCACCUAUAAGAAAAUAUAAAAUACAUGAUGAAAUAUGUGUACUAUCUAAAAUUUUAAAAUAUUAAUAUUUUUGUUUACAAUAUUAAAAUAAAUUAAAAUAUUAAUCAAAAUUUAAGUGGUAAUUUUUUUGUUUAGAAAGAAAAUAUUAACCAUUUUGUAAUUUUCGUCGAAUAUGUAUGCAUAAUUAUAAUUUUUUAUGUUUACUUAUAUUUUUCUUUUUACGUAUAUAUAUUACGUAUUUUAGUUCCAUGUGUAAAAUCACAUGACUAUGUAUGAACUAUACAUACUUUGUUUUAUAAUUAAUAAUAACUUACCGCCCAACCAAUUUGUAUGCUAUUGAGUUCACCACGAGGUCCAUUCUCUAACCAAAUUUGACUUUUGCUGUAUUGGUUAUUUUGUACUGUUACAUUAUGAACACUUAUCAUAGCUUCUGCUCCCCGAUAGAUGCUUCCAUCCAAAACGGUCUCGAUUGUUGCAAACUGUACAUCAAAGGUAUAUAAAUAUAGGCUCGUUCACAAAAUAUACGUGUAUUAUAAUUGACUUGAUUUAUAGAUAGAAUUAAUGAUAAAUAUAUAUACAACUUAAAAAAGCAACAACAUGACUAUAUAAGUAAGCCUGGGCCGGAUCCGGAUAUCCGGCAUUUUUAGGGUUUCCGGAUCCGCCUUUUCAUUAUCCGGAUCCGGAUCUGUUUCAUCUGGAUAUCCGAAUUUCGGAUAUCCGUAAAAAUAGCCGUGUAUCCGGAUCCGGGUUUUUUUAAUAUAACUUUUUUAUUAAUAUAAUAUUUGAAGAAAAAUAUUUAAAAACAAAUAAUUUAAUAUAAAUAAUUAAAAAUAUUAUUAAAUAAUAUUAUUCCUAUAUAAAAUAAUAAAAUUUAUUAAUAAAAUUUAAAUAAUAGUAAUAAAAUAUUAAAAAAUAUUAUUAUAAUAUAAAAUAUCCCGGAUCCGGAUAUCUAGCUUUUAAUUUUCUAUUAUCCGGAACCGGUUGGAUCCGCUUUUUCAUUAUCCGGAUCUGGAUCCGCCCCACCCAGAUAUCCAGUUUUUCGGAGCGGAUCGGAGCGGAUCCCAGAUCCCGGAUAAUUGGUCUCAGGGCUAUAUAUAAGUAUAUAUCUAUUUACUUUUCGUGUGUUGCAAAUCAUAAUUAUAUGCGAUUAAAUAAAUUUCUGAUAAAAAUAUAUAUAUAUAAAAAAAGAAUUACAUGUUGGCCGGGAUAGUCGACUGUGUUGAGAUGAACGCUUUCAGUUCCAUUUCUUUGUUUUAAAAUUGGCACUGUUCCUUUUGGACAACUUAGAUCAUUUUUUUGAUAUUUAAUUUUUACAUUGUGGCUUUCGUUGAAACUGAAAUUUUCCUGUAACAGCACAAAAUAACAGGAUUAAGAAAAUAUAAGAGAAUUUCAAAAUUAUGCUACAUUUAUUAUAAUGAUAUUUGAUUAUAUCUAAGUAUCCACUAUAACUAUUGUACCUGAAUCUUGUGGUUUUUCAACAAUGGAUGUUGGAAAGCGGGUUGUUUGUAUAUAUCAACACAAUCAAAUUUCUGUAAAAUUGAAUACAAAAAUAAUUCUUUUUGAGAAAUUUAAAUGAUAAAAUCUUAAGGAAUGUAAAAUUACAAGGUAGAAGUUAUAGAAGCUCACAUCAACGUUUCCUUCGACCAUUUGCGUAAAAAGCAAAUAAGAAGAUAGAACAAGCACUAGAUUUAAACCCAUUGUUAAACUUUACUUAUAUUUCUCCAUUGAUAUUUUGAUCGCUAUAUAUAUAGAAUUUGAGUCAACAGACAUUUAACAUGUUACAAAAAAAAUUAUACUUGAGUCAACAACAACUAAUUAGUUUUAUACCAUUUUUAAGUUUUCUUUUAACAGAAUACAGAAAUACAAUAUAGCACACAUAAAAAUAAAAUCUAUGAAAAGAAUACACUUUGACUAAAAAAGACACGAGGAGGCCAACGUGUCGCCACGAGUUAACUUCGAUCUGUGACGUCACCUAGAUACCUCUAAUAAACUUAACAAAAGUAUCAAUCACAAAGUUGAACUAAAAACUUGAAAGUCUUGUAGUCUUUUAUACAUAUAAAAUUACUGUUAUUUUUCAUAUAACUAUUUAAUACAGUUGACUAAAACAUAACAUUUUAAUUCAAUUGACAAAAGUUAUAAGAGGAAAAGAAACUUGUUCAUAUAAACGUGAAAGUAAAUUUGUCAACAAAAAAUUUAGAAAAUUUUGGUCCGUAAAAUAAAAUGCAAUGGUUUAAAACACCUAAUUGGUCCAUGAAAUGUAAAAUGAGACUUGUCCAGAAAAACUAGAGUUGGUCAAUGACAUUACCUAAACUUUUGAACCCGUAAACACCAAAACUCUAAUAUUAAAAAUUGUUUUUUGAGCCCAUUAAUAAGCAAAAAAUUUUAGCCCAUUUAAUAACUUAAAGUGCAUCAAGGGAUGCUCUUAUGUAGCAACAGAUUUUUCCUGAUUGGCUAAAAGACCUUUUUGAAUGUGAGAGAAGCUAUGCCUCUGUUUCGGAUCUUCAUCCAUAAUUCUUUUUAGACUUUGGUGUAGAUAACUUGUGUCUUUGCUAACACCCGUUAUUUAUAGAAUGACUAGAUGACAAAAAAACAAAACUGUAAGAAAAGUCAAAAUUAUAGUAUUGAUUACGAUCGAAGAUGGCACCUCCAUCUGGUGCAUACUACAAAAUUCGCCGUGCAUCACUACAAAGUACAAACUCUCGAAUUGAUAUCCCCACUUUUUAAAUAUAUUUUAAUAUUGCCCUUCCAUCUUUUAUAUUAUAAAACACGUUAUUUGACCAAUCAAAAUUUGAUACAUAGAUUUUUUUCAUAAUUUAAAUUAUUUAAAAUUCUAAAAUAAAAUUGAGAUCGUGGAAAAACAAAAAACAAAAAGACAAAACUUAUUAUAACUACCGAACAAAAACAUGUCCAAAGCUCUUUCUCUUUAUACAUUUUUUUUUUUUUUCACAAUAGAUAUUACAUGGGUAAAACCCCAGAUUUUUUUUUUUUUUUUUUUUAAUUUCCAUUAAAAUAAUUAAAACAUACAAGGCAAAGAGCCCAAACUGGAGCACGCAGGCCCGAAAAUUAAAAAGUACAAGGCUAAAAGCCCACAAAAAGGCACGCAGGCCCAAGAAAAAAACACAAGACAGAGGAAGAAAGCCAGAAUAAAGGUCUCCCGAAGCAAAAGAGAGCAAACCUAGCUUUAGUCUUGGAACAGCGCGAACCAAGUGACGAGGAGAGAGGAGCCCAAAGGUCACGAUAAACCCCAGAAUUUAAUAAAUACAAUUUUCUAAAUACUAAUAACUAGAAUAAAAUUGCCCUACAGACAGGACAAGUGUUGUUCCAUUGACUUAAACAGUGGAAGUGGAACGCGUGUCCACAAACUGUGUUAGCCAAUGGAACAUUCGACUCAAAUUUACCUAGACAUAUACUACAUUUACGUUCUGGAUACCUAAAUACAAAUUGCUCCAUUGGAACGGCCAUAAGACCGGGAGCAAUAUCUUGUUGUUCAUCGCUACAAAAAUAUAUUUUAAAAAACAAAAAAAGAAAUCCUACAACAACUAAGGCGACAAAGACACAGAAAAACGGCAGUAAUGCUGCAAUGAAGUUUUGAUAGAAUAUUGAAGCACGGACUGCAUUCAACAUGAUCAAAAGAGAGAAAAGAAAAAUCAGAGAAAGAGAAAAAAAGAUCGGAAGAAAGAGACUGUGUUUAGCGACUGUGUUUAAUUAGGACGGCUAGAUUUAAAAAGCAGCGACAAAUAAAAACUAAAAAGAAGCGACGGUAUAAAUGGUGAAGGAUAAGGACCUUAUCAUAAGGUGUCACCGUUGAUCGCCAGGUGAACAAGCACUCCACCUCCGACUGUUUUUGAUGCACAACUCCCAAGUAAAGGUGUGAGGUGGAGUUAAGAAGAAGAGGAUCGGAAGAAUUACAGAAAAUUUUUGAUCAUUAGGUGGAGUUAAGAAGAAGAGGAUCGGAAGAAUUACAGAAAAUUUUUGAUCAUUGAUCAUUAGGUGAGGAGGAAUUACAAAUUUCUCCAUUAGUAGUAAAUUACCUCAAAAAGAAGGUUAGCAAAGAAACGAAAUUUUUUGCUAAUAAGUAAAUUUAGAUUUUUUUGCUAAUAAGCAAAGAAGGUUAUGAUUUUAGAUUUUUCAUACGUAGUCUAGUAUAAUACAAAAACCGUAUAGUGUAGUAUAGUAGUGUAUAAUACAAAAACCGUAUAGUGUAGUAUAUGUGUAUAAUACAAAACCGUAUAGUGUAGUAUAUUAGUGUAUAAUACAAAACCGUAUAGUGUGGUAUAGUAUAGUAUAUAAGUGUAUAAUACAAGUAUAGUAUAGUAUAUAAGUGUAUAAUACAAUAACCGUAUACAUAGUAUAAUACAAAAACCGUAUACAUAGUAUAAUACAAAAACCGUAUAGUUAAAAAUAAAUCGGGAAAUUACCUCUAGAUCUUGGGAUCGGAAGUUGAAGGCUCGAGGACUCAUCGUCUUUGUACAAAGAGAAAGAUACGGUGAAGCUAAGGGGAUAUUCUCAAGUGUCGGCUCCUUUUUAUCAUCGCUACAUCGUAACAGCUUCAGAUCAGUAGACUUCAAUCCUCUCUCCAAUCAUCGGUAUGCGUGAAAGAUAACCCAACCUCUCCUCAAACUCUGAUUCUCGCUCGCUGGUGAACUAAUCUAGCCAUCGGAACAGCUUUAGAUCAGUCGGCUCCUUUUUAUCAUCGUAACAGCUUCAGAUCAGCAGACUUCGAUCCUCUCUCCAAUCAUUGGAACAUAGGUGAAAGAUAACCUACACCCUCUCCUCCCAACUCUGAUUCUGGCCGGUGAACUAAUCUAGACAUCUCAAUUUUUCUGCGGCUAGGUUUCUUCUCGAUAGAUCUUCUAUUUUUCUUUUGUAAUUAACUUUCCAUUAAAAUUAAAAUAAAGUGACAAGAGCAGCCCAUUAUUUCAAAACAAAAGCCCAACGCUGUGUUGAAGUAUUAAAUAAAACAAACAGCCCAUGAUAGAAACCACAAGAGGGCCCAAAUUCCAUGUGGAGAAUCGAAUGGAAGAGAAUUACAUAAGAAUAUCAGCUCUCUUUUUUGUUGGUUAUCUUGAGGAAGACACUAAAUCACAGAUUAAAGUUAAAUUACAUCUUGAUAAUUAAUGUAAGAAAAAAUCUCUAAUUUAUAAAGGUUGAACACAACUAAAAGAGAAAUAAAUAAAAUAAUGAUGGAUUAAAUGUCAUAUAGGAUAUAGUCAUAUAGGUAGCUGAUAAAAACAAAUUAACGAAGCAGACAAAGAUUUUUCCCAAGCCUGAUUUAGGGACAAAGUUGUUCUUACGUGACUCAAUUGCAAAAUUGUACAAAGACGAAUUGGCCCAAACUGUGUAGAAUGGCUUUGGGCUACCAACCCAUGAUAAACCUCAAUUGAAAAUGAAAUCAGUUCGGCCUGCUCAUGCUUUUUAAAAAUUCAAAAUUGGCCCAACAACUUUCACAUUUCUUUGAUUGUUGCAAACUGUACAUCAAAGGUAUAUAAAUAUAGGCUCGUUCACAAAAUUUACGUGUAUUAUAAUCGACUUGAUUUAUAGAUAGAACUAAUGAUAAAUAUAUAUACAACACAAAAAAAGCAACAACAUGACUAUAUAAGUAUAUAUCUAUUCACUUUUCGUGUGUUGCAAAUCAUAAUUAUAUGCUAUUAAAUAAAUUUCUAAUAAAAAUAUAUAUAAAAAAAGAAUUACAUGUUGGCCGGGAUAGUCGACUGUGUUGAGAUGAAUGCUUUCAGUUCCAUUUUUUUGUUUUAAAAUUGGCACUGUUCCUUUUGGACAACUUAGAUCAUUUUUUUUAUAUUUAAUUUUUACAUUGUGACUUUCGUUGAAACUGAUAUUUGAUCUUAGUAUCCAUUAUGAAAUUCUCUUAUUUUUACAUAAGAGAAUUUCAAAAUUAUGCUACAUUUAUUAUAAUGAUAUUUGAUCUUAGUAUCCAUUAUAACCACUGUACCUGAAUCUUGUGGUUUUUCAACAAUAGAUGUUGGAAAGCGGGUUGUUUGUAUAUAUCAAUACAAUCAAAUUCCUGUAAAAUUGACUACAAAAAUAAUUCUUUUUGGGAAAUUUAAAUGAUAAAAUCUUAUGGAAUGUAAAAUUACAAAGUAGAAGUUAUAGAAGCUCACAUCAAUGUUUCCUUCGAGCAUUUGCGUAAAAAGCAAAUAAGAAGAUAGAACAAGCACUAGAUUUAAUGUGAACUUGAAGCAAUAUUGAAUCGAAGAAUCAUGGAUCCUCUUCUGAAAUGGACAAUAAGUAAUGGAAGAAAGCAGUAUUCUAAAUCUAAGCAAUGUAAAAUGUGUACGAUAACAUUUUUUUUUGUUUUACAAAUUAAAAAUUUUAGAUUCGUAACCAAGUUCUUAUGUACAGUAGAAAUUUAAGACUUUUUGAUUCUUUUCUCGGUUGGUAAGAGCAUCUCCAGUCGUUGAGAGACUCAAAUACGUUUCUUACAUAUGUAUAUUGUUAUUUUAAAAUCAUUAGGUAAUUUAAUUAAAAUUUAUUUAAUAAAGAAACUGAACAAUUCAUGAGAAGACACUUGCCUUUAAAGAUUUUUCAAAUGAGAGCAGUUUGUUAUAUCUCUCUCCGACUUUUUAUUUAUUUAUUGUGUUUUGAUGUUAAAAUGCUUUUUUAGAGAUAUGUGCAAUGGAGAUGCUCCAUAAACAAUAGAUUAUGUAAAAUUGUUGUUUUUUAUUUAUUUACUUGAAAUUAUUUUUUCAUUCACACAUCUUUUAAACUUUUUUUUUGAAGAUCUUAAAUAUUUCUCGUUCAUAAGAUGAAAAUAGUUUAGUCAAAUUUUAUUUCUGUUACAAAUUUAAAAUAGUUUCAGUUAAUACAUAUAAAUUCAUCUAUCAUCAAAUAUCAUAAUUUUCAGUUAAUAUAGAAACUGAACUAUUCAUGAGAAGACACUUGUCUUUGGUCAUGGGUAUUUAAAGAUUUUUCAAAUGAGAACCGUUUCUAAUAUCUCUCUCCUACUUUUUUUUUUAUUUUAUUUUAUUAUGUUUUAAUGUUAAAAUAUUUUUUUAGAUAUUGCAUACUCUAAAAGCAAUAGAUUAUGUAAAAUUAUUGUUUUUUUUUUUUUUGAAAUUACUUUCUCAUUCACACAUGCUUAAGCUUUUUUUUUGAAUAUGUUAAAUACUUCUAGUUCACAAGAUGAAAAUAGUUUAGUCAAAUUUUAUUUCUGUUGCAAAUUUAAUAUAGUUUCAGUUGAUACAUAUUAAUUCAUCUAUCAUCAAAUAUCACAGUUUCCACCUGGUCCCCCAAAAGAGAAAGCUACUCCAUUUGGCUUGGAAUAACCCCAGUAUGAUAAUCUAUAACACUGAUAAGAAUCUGCAUAUUGCCUUGCUCUCCUAUCUUCAAUAUCAACUAGUUGAUAAUUUGAAUUCUUCACUUUAACAUGAAUAUAAUAUGAACUUUUAUGAAAGUCAAAAACCGGAAAAUGUCCAUUUCCCAUUGGAGGACUAAUUCCAUUUGGAGAUGUAAAAGUAUUUCCUCCAAAUCGCACCAAAGAAGCUCCUUUAUUUAAGUGUGUGAAUAGUUCUUUGGGCCAAUAACCAAUUAUUUCAUCAAAGAUUUUUAGUGCCCAAUUUCCGCUGAAACCAUCCUAAUAAAGUAUAAAACACAAAAAAAUAAUUACAAAGAUAUUUAAAUUUUAUGCGCAUAUAUGUUAUUUUAACAAAAAAAAUUGACACACUAUAUUGAAUAAUGAAAAAUUAUAAUGAGGGUGAACCCGAUUAUUUCAGAAGCCUAAACAAAGAACUUGAAUUUGUGGCAUUUAUUAAAAUAAUUAAUAACUACAAUUCCUAUCAUUGUUGGCAAAUAAAUUAUUUCUCUUAUAAAAUGUGAAGAAAAUUUACCUGUAAAACUUGUGGUAUGAUAACAAAUGUUUCUUUACCACCAUAAAUAGAGGAUUUAUUAAUAAAGCUUCCAAUAACAGGAAAGGGAUUUAUAAUAACAAAACCAGGACACUUUGUAUUAUAACACCCCGUUUUCUUAUAUCCAUCUGCCUGAUAAAUUCAAAAGAGGCAAAAUAUUUUGAGACACAAAGAUACAAAAAGGCAACAAAUGGUUUAUUUUUAUAAACAUACAAAGAUAUGGUUUAUUUUUAUAAAGAUACAAAGGUAUAAAGACUAUUUCCUAUAAUCACAAAGUUUUAUUGGUUUGUCAUGUAUAAAGAAACAUAAUUAUUCGCAAAAAAAAACACAUAACUAAGUCACUUACAGUCCAAUAUAUUGUAAAUCGCGUCAAAGUAUCCCCGUAUAAUCUUGGAUGCACCUAUAAGAAAAUAUAAAAUACAUGAUGAAACGUGUGUAUUAUCUAAAAUUUUAAAAUAUUAAUAUAAAUUAAAAUAUUAACCAAAAAUUUAAGUGGUAAUAUUUUUGUUUAGAAAGAAAAUAUUAACCAUUUUAUAAUUUUCGUUGAAUAUGUAUGCAUAAUUAUAAAUUUUUAUGUUUACUUAUAUUUUUUUUCUACGUAUAUAUAUUACGUAUUUUAGUUCCAUGUGUAAAAUCACAUGACUAUGUAUGAGCUAUACAUAGUUUUUUUUUAUAAUUAAUAAUAACUUACCGCCCAACCAACUUGUAUGCUAUUGAGUUCACCACGAGGUCCAUUCUCUAACCAAAUUUGACUUUUGCUGUAUUGGUUAUUUCUUACAGAUACAUUAUGAACACUUAUCAUAGCUUCAGCUCCUCGAUAGAUGCUUCCAUCCAAAACGGUUUCGAUUGUUGCAAACUGUACAUCAAAGGUAUAUAAAUAUAGGCUCGUUCACAAAUUUUAUGUGUAUUAUAAUCGACUUGAUUUAUAGAUAGAAUUAAUGAUAAACAUAUAUACAACACUAAAAAGGCAACAACAUGACUAUAUAAGUAUAUAUCUAUUCACUUUUCGUGUGUUGCAAAUCAUAAUUCUAUGCGAUUAAAUUAAUAAAUUUUUUAUAUAAAUAUAUAAAAAAACAAAAAUUACAUGUUGGCCGGGAUACUCGAUUGUGUUGAGAUGAACGCUUUCAGUUCCAUUUCUUUGUUUUAAAAUUGGCACUGUUCCUUUUGGACAACUUAGAUCAUUUUCUUUAUAUUUAUUUUUUAUAUUGUGGCUUUCAUUGAAACUGAAAUUUUCCUGUAACAACACAAAAUAACAGGAUUAAGAAAAUACAACAGAAUUUCAAAAUUAUGCUACAUGUAUUAUAAUGACAUUUGAUUAUAUCUAAGUAUCCACUAUAACCACUGUACCUGAAUCUUGUGGUUUUUCAACAAUGGAUGUUGGAAAGCGGGUUGUUUGUAUAGAUCAACACAAUCAAAUUCCUGUAAAAUUGACUACAAAAAUAAUUCUUUUUGAGAAAUUUAAAUGAUAAAAUCUUAAGGAAUGUAAAACUACAAAGUAGAAGUUAUAGAAGCUCACAUCAACGUUUCCUUCGACCAUUUGCGUAAAAAGCAAAUAAGAAGAUAGAACAAGCACUAGAUUUAAACCCAUUGUUAAACUUUACUUAUAUUUCUCCAUUGAUAUUUUGAUCGCUAUAUAUAAAGAAUUUGAGUCAACAGACAUUUAACAUGUUACAAAAAAAAUUAUACUUGAGUCAACAAAUAAUUAAUUUUAUACCAUUUUUAAGUUUUUUGUUACAGAAUACAGAAAUACAAUAAAGAGAUACAUAAAACUGAAAAUUACUAUACAAACAACAAUACGAAAGAAGAGAGAACACAUAAAAAUAAAAUCAAUGAAAAGAGUAUACUUUGACUAAAAAAGACACGAGGAGGCCAACGUGGAAAAACGGCCAAUUCCCUCCUGAACUAAAUUGCUUUAUCGUAUUUAUACACAAAACUUCAAGUCGUGCCUAUAACUACAUAUACUUAAAUAAAAUUUGAAUUUCCUACACGAAAAAUUAAAAUCUGGUCAAAACCAUCAGCUCGACAAGAUCUUUCUAAACCCUAUUUUCUUGUUAUAUUCAUUAUUGAUUUCUACUACAAUCAUGUUGUUUGCUUCAAUCUCCAUGUUUGAGUAGUUUGCUUGUUAGGUUUAGGGAUUCUCAUUAGGGAUUUAGAUGAAUUAGUAGAUCGAUAACUUGUUAGGAUUAAUCUAUAGAGUUCUUCACCUUAGGUUGUUCUUAAUGCUAAUUCUAGCUUGAUCACCUAGAAUUUGAUCUUAGGAUAAUAGGUAUUUGAUCCGAGAGGGCACAUGUCACUGGAACUACCUUAGGUGAGCAAAUAUUUCUAGAUGCAUCGAGAGUUGGUCUAGGAGAAUUUGUGAACAUAUCAAACUUGAGUUUAAUGCUAGUCUGAUAUAGGAAUUUGCAUCGAGAGAUGGAAUUACUGAUAUUAAUUUAGUAACUUAGCGCAUCGAGAGGUGGUUAGCUAUUCAUUAGUGUUUUGAGUUCUAGAACGGUUCGUUAAAUAAUCCUAAUUAAUUUGCUAGAUUUACUAUUAGUUUAUUUCCUGAAAAAUCCCUAAGCCUAACGUUUUCCCAUCUGAUUUACGUCUCGAUUUUAAUUACUUGUUUUAUUUUAAUUUGCAAUCUUUACUUGUUUAGCUUAAUUCAAAACCUGUUAGUCUAUUGUGUGAACACGAGAGCUUUGUGGAAUUCGACCCUAAAGUACUGCACACGAUCUCUUAUUUGACAGAGUAGUCUUAGGUUUAAUUUGACUCAUAUCAAUGAUCAAAAGAGAGAAAAGAAAAAUCAGAGAAAGAGAAAAAAAGAUCGGAAGAAAAUUCGAAAUUGUCGCUGGCAAUCGGAGGAUUGAUUGACGUUGAGAGAAGAAGUUCACAGUCAGAUCAAGCCAGCGGGUGUUGUAUUGAAGGGUUUAAACCAAGCGAAGAUGAAUUUGUGCAAGAUUGUGACUAGCUGAAGUUCAUGAAGGUUCGGAUUCCUGAUGAGCCCUAACAGUAUAUACGCGAAUCUGUUGAGCAGUUGAAGAAGAAACUGAAUGAGGAAAGAGAAGAAGUGAGAGUAAGAUUUGUUAAGGAGGGUGAAACUGAUGAGAGAGAUUUAGAGAACAAUGCGAUAGGAAUGUUGAAUGAGGUUCAAAGAUUGAGCCGUGAAGCUCAAGAGUUGAAGAAAACAGGAGAGAAUGCACAGUCGGAAGUUGUGAAAGCAAUGGAGAUCGAAACCACAAGUGACAAGAUUAGAACAGCUAAGAUAAGGUUGGUGGCUGCAAGAAAGAUGAAGGAAGCAGCCAGAGCAGCUACACGGCUAUUAGUAGAAACUUACCGUAAAAAGAACGUUAGAAAGAAUCGGAAAAAACUGCUAAUAAUUAAUUUUACAUUGUGAUUUAGAUUUUAUAUACUUGUAUAAUACAAAAACCUAACCUCCAAUCAUCGGUAUGCGUGAAAGAUAAC